GUCCUGUCCCAAAGGAGAUGCCUGCCAAAAGGGAGUAGAAGGCUCAAGUCAAGAGAAGACACAGGACUGAUUCAAGGCUGUGGGGUAAGAGCAGUCCCAAAUGGUUGGUGCCAAUCCCUUUCUGCUCACCUCAGCUUGAUGACAUGGAAAGGUUUAAACGUCUGUUGAGUCUUUCGCGGGAUGUGGCUAUUGAGAAACUGGGAGCUCUAAAGAGCCCACUCAAGACAAAGAGCAUGGGUCCUGUGAUCUUCUCAAUAAAUUAGCACCAAUUCUCUGCCAAGCACUGGGCUAAUAGGUACAGUGGGACUCAACUGUGUGGAGACUCAGACCCUGUCCUCCAAAGAUCUAGAAUUCUGCAAGAGAGGUAUAAUGUGCAAAUGUUGCUUAAAAAUGAGACCGCGUGCCAUAAAUGCCAUUAGAAAAAUAGAAUCAAAUUAAUAUUCCUGAAAAAUGAAGGAGAUCCUGAUACAUGCAACUAACUUGAAUGAGCCUUAAGGACAUUAUUCUAAGUGAAAUAAGCUCAUCGCAAAAAGACAAAUACUGUAUGAUUUCACAUAUGAUUUUCACUUAUUUGACUACCUAAAGUAGUCAAAUUCAUUGAGAUGAAAAGUAGAAUGGUGGUGGUCAGUAGAACGGGGUGGUGAUGCUUAAUGGGUACCGAGUUCCAGUUUUGCAAGAUGAAAAAGUUCUGGAGAUUGGCUGCACAACAGUAUAACUACGCUUAACAGUAUUGAACUGUAUGCUGAAAAAUGUUUAAGAUGGUAAAAUUUAUGUUAUGUGUAUUUUGCCAUGACUAGAUAUAAAAACAAUUAAUGGAAAAAAACUGCUAGGGACCUACAGAAAACGAAGCGACUGUAUAUGUAACUAGAGAUACCCAGGAAGUCUUCAUGGAGGAGGAGGCAUUUGAACUGAGCCCCUUUUAGAACAGAGAGGCUAAAACCUGGACAGGAAUAGGGCAUUCCAGGUGAACAGAGCAGCAGGAGCAAAGGCACACCUUUAAAAAAAAUAAUAAAUCCAGAAAUUUCUCUCUUCCAUUGCAUCAACUCUUAACAGACAUUUUUCCAGUGAUCAAACUGCUGGAGCCUGUAUCUGUGACUCUCUCCUGUGACAUCUCAGCAAGGCCAGGCUCUCCUGCUUCUCCCUCCCUUCAUCUCUCUCCCUCUUUCUGUGCAUGCCUCUUCCUGCCUCUUGUUCUCCCUCUCUCCCUGGUGUCUUUUGAACCUUCUAAAAUGAAAUCCUCGACAAAGGUUUGCUUUCAGCCCAGAAUUAACCUUCCUUGAGGUCUCUUGACUAACAGAAAAUACCCAGAGACUCUCACACCUUUAUUAACAGACCCUGUUUUGUUGUUCCUUUUUCUCCCUGGAUACCAGAAGCUUGAGAAGAAAUUACCUCACCUCCUACAACAGGCUAGGUCUCAAUUGUAAGAAGGGUCUUUCUGACAGACGUUUCCAUUGUCAAUUCUCCCUGAUUAACGGCAGUUUUAUAGAACAGCACUCUGACGGAGGAGAAGGGAAAGAUACAGAUUUAUACUUAAUUCGUGAACAGAGUCAAGAGAAGGGUGGGUUCCACCAAGAAUUUCUUCAUCUUUGGAAGGAUUAUUAAAAUCACAGCUUAUUAUAUUCCCCAUGUUCAUCAUGGAGAUCUAUGGCCGGCAUCCUUUUGUGAUGAGAAUGGUAACCGGGCCCAGGGAAGGCAUCGAAGGCUCCGGAAAGAAAGCCCCCCUGCACAGGCCUGGGGAUUCAGGACGGGCAGGCAAGAAGGUUCAUUUGCUCGGGGAAGAGUCGUGGAGCUCAGUCUCCCCGUCCCCAAAGUACAGACUCACGUAGUGGGAAUGCGCAAAACGUGCCUGUGAGAGCGAAUCGAGCUGACCUGAAGUGAAACCCCGCUUCACUCUGCCCACUGUGAUUUGGAGAAGCUGCCAGAUCUCUGGUUAGAAAACUGCUUGUUUUCGGUUUUCUGUCUUUUCACCCGGUCCUUCAUUUUCGAUCGUUACCUUUCGUUCUGGUUGAGGAGGACGCGUGCCUUUUUUGGGGGGUGAAUCGAGCCACGGCCUGGGCAUAUCAGAGGAAGCAUCAUCACAGGCCCUGUCUCCUCUCCACGGCGUCUCCACUCUAGAGAAUUCACGUUGCGCUUUUUCUCACCCCUUCGGCUCAGUCUAGACAGAUGGUUAAGUCAUCCAAUGCUGGAGAGAGAGCAGAGAUCAGUGUGAACAUUUACUUUGUUGUGCUUGAACGCUUUGGAGUUGAGGGGGGAUAUCCAAGUUAGGGACCACAGUCUUUCCUCGGUGUCUAUUCAGUUCCAUUAAAAAUUAUCACAAGCAGAUCAUGGACUCUCAGCAUUGGGUGGAACCUCGGGUAUUACCUUAGCCAAGCCACGCAUGAUGCAAGAAUCCUCCAGAAGCAUCCUAGCUGGCUGUUGCUGGUUCAAGCAGCCACGCAUUUUCCCUCAUGGAGGGCGAGCUCCUUUUAGUAGUGAAUUGACUGUUGGAAAACUCUUCCUUAGACUAAGUGAAAACUAGAAUCUGUUUAUUUAAUGACAUCCACCCACAGACACUAGCACCUGGUAUAUAUGUGUGUGGACUGACCGACGGACAGGCUGACUGACUGAGUCAGUGAUUCCGCAGAGUAAACUGGCAGCAAGGAGGAGAACAAGGUCAGGAGAGAAGACAAUUGCAGUGGUGAGAAGUCACGGGCUGAGUAGAAAGCGAGGAGAAAAGAACGUUCUUCUCUAAGGGUUUGUUUUCUCCCUGGCGAGGAACAGAGGAGAAAUGAUUGUCCCAGCAAAUGUUUCCACUCCCUCACAUCUUCCAAACAAACCAACAGGAAACCCCAAGAAUCUAAUUCAUAAGUAAAUCACCUUUCACAUUUGUGGAAUGAAUGAAAGUACUUUGGAUUAGUGAAAAGUUGCUCAAGACAACUAUCGCCGGUUUCCCUAAGUUACUUUCUCGUGACUUCUCUCCCUCCCUCUUUCUCUAUUUCUCUCUCUCUGUCUCUCUCUCUCUCACACACACACACAAUGCCAUGUGCGUGCGUGCGCGCGCGCGCACACACACACACACACACACACACACACACACACACACACACACACACACACCAGAACUUACAGAUCGUGGCCUCCCGGCCUCCUCAGAGCAAGCUAGCUAGAUAAAGCAGCUAACAGUGACCUUUGCUUCAGCUCUGUCACCCUCCCCCUCUGUCUCUCCUCCUUAAACAGCUGCCCGCCCCUCUGCCUAUUGGGAGGGCCGAAGGUCCUCCCCCCCUUCCCCCGACUCCCACACACCCAUCCACGGCUCCAUGUUCUUGCAGGGCUGCUCAGCUAGAGCGGGAGCCUCCUCCCCUGGCAGCAGCCAGGCAGCAAACACGCAAUGCAUCUUUCCUGCCGCUGUGUGGGAGGGUUGGGGAGAAUUCCCAGGGUGCAGGCCGCAAGCGCUCCCCUGAAUCUCCAAGUGAAGACGGCUCACCCAGGCUCGCACGGCUUCACGUGGUCGUCCUGAACUUGGCCUCCGAUAAUCCGACAUUUUCCCAGCCCGUUUUCCUUCCCACCCCGUCGCAUACCCUAGGAUUCCCCCUCUCUGGGCACCACAGAGCGAUCUCUUCCCUGUAAAUGGGAGAGACGUCUUCCUUUGCCAAGAUGUCUCCCUACAGGAACCCAUCCUCCAAUGUGGUCCCUUCCGGAGGUCACCGGAAUAGAGCGCAUGGCAGCAAAGGCCGUAGAGGCUGGUACUAAAGCCGCCACUUGUGUUCUGGCUCCUUCCUGGAGAGGUAACCUCCCUUACUGCAGGUCUCUCGUCGUCUGGUAUCUGGGAUUGGGAUGCCGUGGCCAUCACAGCCAAGUGAGAUGGACGGGAGGCAACCGUACGCCCUUCUCUGGCAGCAAGGACGGCCAAUCCGGAUAAUACCAGGCAGAUCCGGAUCCUCCCAGUGUUUGGUGAUUGAGCUACAAAUAGACCCUCGGCUUUUUGCCUUUCAUUUUGCAGAUAACUGUAGUUAUAACUCAUCAGAGGUCUACAAGACAGUCUCUGUGCACUAGUGCUUACAGAAUUCUCAAUGUGGAAAAGAUCCUAGAUGUGAAUCAAGGUUAGGGAGCUCCUCCUAUGCUUCUGACCUUCUGCUGGCAGGUUUACUUCCGUUCACCCAAUACAGGAUGUCUUUUUCAACCCUAUGAAUUGAAAUUGGUCAUUGCUCUCUGCCCUCUAUCGGCACUUUGGUAGACCAGAUACUCUAGGAGAAGCUUCAUGUGGCCCUGUCUGCAGUUAGUGGGUGAGUGGGUGCCCUGCCUGUCUCUCUACUCAGACUGGGGGCUCCGUGAGGGCAGGUCGCACUCUUCCUGAAUCCCUCCUGGCUCCCAGCACAGACUCUCAUUCACAGGAGUUUAAAAAGGGCGCAUGUAGUAGAGUUCCCAUCUUCUGCUUUCCCUUCUACUGAGCCAAGAAAUAGCGACCUAUCCUAAGCAAUGGGAGUCUGGCCUCCAUGAGAAUGGCUCCCAUGUAUAGAGGGGUUUUUAUUCAAGAAUCUGGGGGCACCCUGGGUGGCUCAGUUGGUUAAGCUCUGACCCUUGAUCUCAGCUCAGGCCUUGAUCUCGGGGUGGUGAGUUGAAGCCCUGUGCUGGGCACGAAGCCUACUUAAAAAAGAAAAGGUGGGGGCGCCUGGGUGGCUCGUUCGGUUAAGCAUCUGACUUCAGCUCAGGUCAUGAUCUCAACAGUUCGUGGGGGGGAGCCCCGCCUCGGGCUCUGUGCUGACAGCUCAGAGCCUGGAGCCUGCUUCGAAUUCUGUCUCCCUCUCUCUCUGCCCCUCCCCUGCUUUCUCUCCCUCUCUCUCUCUCUCAAAGAUAAAUAAACAUUAAAGAAAAAAAAAUCUGGUGAGACCAGAGAGAAGAGUUAGAAUGUGCUCCAGAUGUCCUGCCAGAAUGAGCCCCAACAAUAUGUAGGGGCCUAAGUAAGCCCAAGUCUUACAGGCUUGUCCUCCUCUGUAUGACCUUGGCUUAAUGACAGGAAGCCACACGCUUCCUUUGGCCUAAGAUGCCCGGAGCAGCGUCUGUCCUCCCAUUAAGUGUUGUCAGGAUGGUAGCUAAACCUCUCUGAUUUUGCUGGAUAAUUUCCACUUCAAGUGUUCUGUCCCAUCGCUCCCAUCCAUUCCCGUGUAUGCGCCAGACCGUGCCAUUUCCGGUUAAGAAAGCAGAGUUUGGACUCCCACUCUCCAAGAAUCCUUCUUUUGGCUCUUCAUACAUCCACUCUGAUCGUUUGGGUUCCCCCUAAAGCGGACACAGGCAAGACACCGAGACAAGAACUCAAUCGCAGUGUAUUUGGGAGGUGCCAAAAAGAAAAAAAAAAAAAAAAAACCGGAAACGGGAAAGAGACAAGACAAAGAAGGCAGCUCAUAAAGGAUCUGCGAUCUAGCCAGCUACCAGUGUGGGGUCACUUAAUCCCGUCAGGGAAACUCUGGGGCUGGUGUCAAAUGCAGUGUUGAGAGGUAGCUCGCCUCAAAGGGGUGGAGACCAGGGGGUCCUUCCCCGGUGCUCAUCAGUCACUGGUUGCAGGAUGCUGCCUUGGGGCUGCUCUCAACCUUCCAGCUGUUAGCAGGUGGCGCUCCAGGGCGAGCGGACGUCCCUAGGCAGCAAGAAGAUACCGGUGCUGGCGGGUAGAAGCUGGAGUGGCGUGUGGGGAUUGCGAAUGGCCAGGAGGCGUUGUGGGGCACUGGCCAAGUGCGCCUCACCUCUCCCUUCUAGGAGACACAGCUGUAAUUCCCCUUGAGGGGCUGUGGCUUGUCAUGCCGGAGAGCAAAGCCCUUUGAGAACAGGACCCAGGAUAUAAAUCGGUGGCCAAAGAGACUGAAGAAAAAGACACCGAAAAAUGUGGUGGGUAGGCACUAAGGCCGACUCUUCAGGCCUCCCGACUCUGCGUGGACCAGUCUGGUUAGUCACGUGGGGACUGGAGGCAGAGCUCAGAGCUGUUUCUAACAGGUGGGUGGGUGAGCCUGACCCCAGCCAGAGGCCCGAGGGUGUCCGGUUUCACGGGGACUUUAGCAGGAGAAAGCAGGAGGAAUAAGCAGGCGUGGGACACGUCGGGGACUCAUAGCUACUGGGGACCAAAGUCCUGCUACAGGGCAGCCCUUCCCAUCCAUUGGCUUAUUCCAGCCUCACAACACCCCCUCCAGAUCAGCACAUGACCCCUGAGAUGGCCCCCGGGGGUUGUGCCCGCUCAAAAUGGCUUCCUCUUCUUCUGGGCGAUGCUGAUUUAAAUUUUUUUUUUUUCCAACGUUUAUUUAUUUUUGGGACAGAGAGAGACAGAGCAUGAACGGGGGAGGGGCAGAGAGAGAGGGAGACACAGAAUCGGAAACAGGCUCCAAGCUCUGAGCCAUCAGCCCAGAGCCCGACGCGGGGCUCGAACUCCCGGACCGCGAGAUCGUGACCUGGCUGAAGUCGGACGCUUAACCGACUGCGCCACCCAGGCGCCCCGGGCGAUGCUGAUUUAGACCACGAGGUGGGGCGAGGGCUGCCAGUCGUGGUCUUCCAUCGAUCUGGCCACAGAGGCUGCUCCAGCUACCGUUCACCCUGGUUUUCUGGACAAGUAUGCUAAAGCUCAGAAAGGUUAGGUCACAUGCCGGGGCCACAUAUCUCCCCGGUGCUAGGGCCGGGAGACCCUCCGUGGAUGUCUGGCUCCGAGGCCAUUGCACUGGGUCCUCAGGUCAGUUUCAGCAACAGCAUGUGGGCUAGUGCCAACGGGGAGCCAGAGCUGGCUUUUAUUCGCAAGAGACCAUCAUCCGUAUUCUGUAAUUCUGCAAGCCAGUUACCGUCGUGUUGUCAGCUUGGGGGUAUUUACACCACAGAAAUUGGCAAAUGAUACAAAACCGGGGCUUCCUCCCACCUGUUGUUAAAUAUUAAACACACGCAUCUUGGAAAUUCAUGUCUUCCCUGGGCCCCACAGGGACAUUCUCAAUGUCCCUUUGAUGUCCCACCAGAUGCCUAGUGCCCACCUGAUGUCUGAGUCUGGUAAGAAAUGUCCCCAGUGGGGGGCGCCUGGGCGGCUCAGUCGGUUGAGCGUUCGACUUCGGCUCAGGUCAUGAUCUCGCCGCCCGUGGGUUCCAGCCCCGCGUCGGGCUCUGUGCCGAUAGCUCGGAGCCUGGAGCCCGCUUCGGAUUGUGUCUCCUCUCUCUGCCCCUCCCCCACUUGCGCUCUGUCUCUGUUUCUCUCUUAAAAAUAAACACACAUUAAAAAGUAUUAAAGAAAAAAAAAAAAGAGAUGUCCCCAAAGAGUCCUAGGUACCUGGUUGGGCCUUCCCCAGCCUGCCAUCAGGGGCAAGUGCAAAGCUUCUUCUGCUUUUGAUCUUACACAGUUCAGCUCAGCUUGAGGCUCCCAUAGAGUGUGCUGCGGGACUUGGCAAUGACGUAAUCCCUGCAUCCAGGCCUGCCUCACCCGGGAAAGGGAAGAGUUUUAGGGGAGCUCAAGCAUGAUCACCCCCAGCUUGCUUGUGGAGUCUUCCACAGAGAAAGGAGGAGAGAAGUUUCUUCCUGUGAGAUGAGUGGGGAACCCAGAGUGUCAUGGGCAUGAGCACAGCUUCCUCUGGUUUGUCUUCAUCACUCUUGGGCUGAGGUAGUCACAGCCCUUAUUUCUAAGAUCAGACCUUCUUGGGUCAGUUUCGGCUCUGGUCAUUGAAAACAGAAGUCAAUGACACAGUUUUAGGGAACAGACUAUCCUCAAAGAUACAUCCCAAAAUAGAUACUCUACCUUGUGUGUGUGUGUGUGUGUGUGUGUGUGUGUGUGUGUGUGUGUGUGUCUGGUUGAGUUUUGUUUGUUGUUUUUCCCAGACUUGGGAGAGAGCCCUCCAGAAAAGCAAAAGUGGGAGACUUCUGUGGGCUUUGACUAGAAACCAGGAUAAAACAAGUCAGAGGGGGCAGAGAGGUCUCCAGUUCCAAAGAGGAAACUGGGGGAGACGGGUUAAUUCCUCCGGGUCACGAGGGUCCUUGCAGAAGGAACAAUUUCCAAAGCUAACAACAUUCCUCUAAAUGCCUGCCUGACAGCUUGGCCGAGAUCCAGCUCAAAAAUGCAUUUGAAAAUUUUAAGGCAACAACUUAGAUAAUUGUAUUCAGAACUGGAAAUAAGUGACCUUGGGCUAAAACUUCUCCAACCCAGUGGAACGAUUUAAAUGCACGUGUUAGUGCUGAUAUUUAAUCCUCUACCAGCACCCAAGACAGCAGAACAAUCCUUCCUUUCAAACUUUUUCAGCCUCCUCCCCUCACAGAACCUUCCAGGGCUAAGCAAUUUGGACUUUAAAAUGCUAGCUGUUCUUGCUUAUUAUCUCCCAGUAAAGUGCUACAAGGGUCUGAGUCCCAUCUCCUGCCUUCUGCCCUAGCUGCUGCGGAUCGUGUGGAUGACAUCAAUGUGGCAGGGACUGUAUAAGCCCCCCAUGUUAAAAUCUAACAUUAAAUGGCCGAGCACCACCCUGCCUUUUGACUCAGCUCAAAGAAUAGGAGCCUGAUGCUUUCUGUAAUUUGCAGGCACACUCAGGCUGCAGGGCACCUCUAGAGGAAUGAGCUUCCCCGGGUGUCAGACCUCAGGUACAUGAAAACCCCUUGAAAUGAUGCCACAUGGUGGCUCUUGGUCACAUCUGAGCCAUGGCUCUCCAGCUCUGGGAGGGCUUUCCUCCCUCAUCUUUCCUCCCUCAUCUGUCCCCAAAAUGUGCUUUCCCCUCAUCUGUCCAACCACCUGACACUUGGGCCCAGUCUGUCCUCACGACACAUGCUAGGGUGAUAAACCAUCUACUCUGGGGGGACGUAGUCAAUAUCUGUUACAUUUCUCAACCUUUCCUUUGGUUCUGAGUUUUCAGAGGUGUCGUCUGAUUUCGUCACCUAUGUGAAUGCAAAGUUGACACCUUCCAAGCUGACUUCUCACCCUCUGCAACAUCUCCAUCACGUUUCUUAAGGGGCAUUGUUGAGAACCUUUGGACUUUGGAAGUCUUUUACCAAGAUAGUUUUUUAUAAAAAAAAAAAUUCUGUUUCUCAUUGCCAACUUGAAUAAGUAACACCAUUAUUUUUACUUUGAAUUUUUACUCUAUAUACAAUACAUACAUAUUUUGCUAUAAAUGUAUGUUCCUGCCUAAUUUAAGCCUUUAAAAACUCAAAUCAAGUCAACUGCUUAUUAGUAUGUAUGAUGUGUUCAGGCUAUGGACUAGCUAGGGAAUUAAAGAAAAUAUAAGCUCUGUUAUUUGGGCUCAAGGAACAUAACAUCUUGUUGGGGGAAUAAUAGAGGAGAGUGUAGAUACAGCACUGGGGUACAUGGACAAUAACAGACAGGAACCAUCAGCCCCGGCACUAGUUUAUAAGCCUGACAUCUCCAGGAAAACAGGAUCUCCACCACAACACUGGCCCAACAUAGAGGAUGGAUGACAGCCAGAUUCUUAACUAGCGACUCUUUCAUAAACAGAACUGGAAUGGCCUCUAGAAGGACAAGUGAAAAACCUAUAAAGAACCUUGUGGAAAGCGUGAACUCAUCCUUUUACCAGAUCCUACUUGGAGAAACUCUGGCCCCUGCAUUUCCAGGAUGAGAUGAAGGGAGACCCAUGUGGCUCACAGAAAAAGCAGAGACUUCACCCAUCUUGCGUGUAUCCUAUCCCCACGGCAGUAAGGCUUUGAACGUCCCUCACCUACGUCAAAGGGGUUCAUUUGACCAAAGCUUGCUUAAUUCAUAAGAAGGUGUCAGCUCCCCCCAUUCUCGUCCCAAUACCAUACCAGUCCACAUCUGAUAGCUGACGGGCAAUUAUCAGGGAGAGAGGGAAGAGCAAGUUUUGUCCCCAGUUGUAGCUUUCCCUUGGGUCUUCCCCUGUGACCAGAGUCAGUCAAUCAGGUGAAUCCCAAGUUAUACAAAUCCAGCUGAUGCAAUUUAGAGGGAGAGAAAAAGCAAAAACACUUUAUGGUCAAGGAGAGAAUGUGUUUAUCAUCUUCCUUAAUAUAUGAUAACAUUUAGAGUAUCUGAUGCUGGAAAAAACAGAGGCUUUCAAAAUAAUUUUGAAGCCCUAUCCUUUCCUCUAAAUAAGGAGUCCUCAAUAAGUCCCCUGUUUUUAUCUGAAGUCAACCCCAACCUGGGGCGCCUGGGUGGCUUAGUCGGUUAGGCGUCCAACUGCAGCUCAAGUCAUGAUUUCACAGUUCGUGAGUUCGAGCCCCCUGUCGGGCUCUGUGCUCAAGCUCAGAGCCUGGAGCCUGCUUCGGAUUCUGUGUCUCCCUCUCUCUCUCUGCCCACCCCCCACUCACACUCUCUCUCUCUCUCUCUCUUUCAAAAAUAAAUAAAUGUUAAAAAAAAUUGAAGUCACCCCCAACUUGCUGAUUUAUGCAUCAUCUUGAUCAGUUGUCUGUUCAGAGUUCUAGUAGUUCUGUCUCUAAACAAUUUGGCCAAAUUGCUCGACCUCUGUGGUAUUGUUUUCUUACCCUAAAAAUGAAGCUGUGAUCUCUAGGUUCCCUUCUAGUUCUUAAAAUCUAAAAUUCUGUGACUGUGCUGCACAGAGAUAGACUUGCCCUCAAAGAAGUGUUCUUUAUUUAGGGACUCAUUUCUGUGGGUAUUAAUCUUCAGCAACCCAAGAAAUGCACGGCGCCACAAAUAGGCUGGGACAGAAUACUUUCCCAGGAAACCUAGAAUUUUCCAGAAUGACCAGGGUGAUCCACUCCCAGCAGCCUUUUCAGUCACACUUGGCCCAGAAAGAACCACACCAUCUGCAGGGAUGAGUAACUCUAAGAAAGUAGGGCAGUGAUGAAAAGUAGGUGCAGCUGGAUGGAAUUUCAAGAAGCAAAGGCCUGACAAGCCGACAGUACAUUACCAUGCUAUCAGCACGUGAUUCUUGCAAUGAUCGGGUCUCUGGACGCCAAUUGUUCUCCACACCUAGGCUUGCCCCUAGCCCGUGAAGAGUUUAAAGACGAGGCUGGGAGGGGAAGCAGAGCGAAGGGAGGGCGAGGCGCAUUAACGUGUCACCUCGACACUCACCUGAGCCCUGAAUGAGGCGUGGUUCGUGCAAACGGUAACCGGCGCUUCUCCCGUGUGUCACGUACCGUAUGGGCUUCCCCCGCCCUGCCCGCUGGGCCCGCAGGGUGCGUCAGAUAGGUUGAAACAACUCUGGGAUCCGGAAGAUGGCUCGCCACCCAUCGAACACUGUACCCAGACACUGCCUUGGCCUCAGGCACCGUGGGGGUUCUGCUGUGUCAGGGACCCAGCGCUGCAGUCGUUUUGUCUUUCAAAUGAGAGACGGCAGGCAGCCCAAGAAGGGACAGUGUAGCGUGGGACUGGGGAGGGCUAGACGGCUCCGUGAGGAGCCUGUAUCCCUGAGGCUGGAAAGUAGAAGAUGCUGGCAGCUCUGGGAGUUCCGGCUUGGUGACCUGGCCUCCCUCACGGGCACUUUCAUGACUUGCUCUGUCGACAUUUCCUAGUCCCGAAGGCAAAGGGAACUUUCUCCAUUCAACAGGAGAAACAGGCACUGCUCACCUUGGAUGUGGAGAUUCUGUCCUGUUGCAUGCAUUAGAAGAUAGUGGCACCUAGGGGAUCAUACACACACAUACACACACACACACACACGCAUAUACACACACACACAUACACACACACAUACACUCACACAUAUACACACACACAUACACUCACACACACAGACACACACACAUAUACACACACAUACACACACACAUACACUCACACACACAGACACACACACAUACACACACAUACACUCACACACACACACACACACACUCACACACACACACACAUACACUCACACAGACACACACACACACAGACACACACACAUACACUCACACACGCAGACACACACACACACUCACACACACAGACACACACACAUAUACACACACACACACAUAUACACUCACACACACAGACACACAGACACACAGACACACAGGAGUGCCCACUCUGGAGCCAGGCUCCUGCUGUGACUGUGGAGCCCCAGGCUUUCCAGCCCACUGGUGAAACCACACUCUGCUUUCUGUCCUGGGCAACGAGGGGUGGAACCAGAGGGACCAAGUACUGAAGAAAAGGUCCCGGUUUGGCAUGAAAGUUGCUGAAGUUGCUGCUGUACCCACAUAGGGGACUUCGGCCUCUGCCAGGGCAGUCGGAGCUCGAAACCCACUCCAGCAUCCAAACCCUGUGGGGUCUCUGGGCACGAGUCCCUGGUAACUCCACACCACCCCAGACAUUCCUGAACAGGAAUGAACUCCAUGCCUGUCCUCGGGCUACAGUUGCCCCUGCAGGGAAAGGCAGGUCGGGUGGGGCCCUUAGAGGAGGCUCCCAAAGAACACCUGCUCUGAGAAAUGCUGUGAAUGACUCACCACAUGACGCUCGUCCCUCGAAUUCAGCCCAGACUCUGUGCCCAGCCUGCCGGCAGGGCUUGGAGCAGUUGUAGAGUCAUAAACCAAGAGGUGAGUCAUAAACCAAGAGGCUGACCGUCUACACUCCUGAGGGACCCAAGACUUACUCAUAAAAAGGCAGGCAGAACUCAUUUCUAUUCACCUUCUCUCCUUCUGGCCUCUCUUUGCCCACGGUGAUGAUGGCAAGUGCCACGGUAUGUGCGAAUAUGCUUUUUCACUGCUUCCAAACUGUUGUUGAAAAUUUCUAGACCAUGUUAAGCAAAAAGAGUUAACUUGAGAAGGCUACACAGUCUAUUAGCGUAGGUGAUCAAAUUACGCAGCCAAUAAUCUAAAUCUGCACAUUCAAUAUGGUGGCCACUGGCUACACGCGACAAGUUAAAUAAAAUGAAUUAAAAUUUAGAAUUCAGUCUCCCAGUUACACCAGCCACGUUUCAAGUGCUCCGCAGCUACUUGUGAGUGCAAUAAUGAACAGCUCCGUUAUGUAUUCCAUCAUCACAGAAUUUCUAUUGGACAGAGCUGAUCUAAAUACAUAACAAGUAUUAGGAAUCCACUUAGCCAUGCACUUAUUUGUUUACUAAGCAAACAGAUGGAGGGUCAGCCAUAGGUAAGCACCUGUGGGGGGAACAAAGAUGAAAAACAGGUGGUCCCUGCACCCCAGGAGUUUGUAACUGAUUGGGAAUCCAUAUGUGUAACCAAGCCACAGACUUUUCCAUCCAGGGAAUGAAACUACGCAGGAGUGAGCAGAAUUCUUACAAAGAGCCAGCUUUAGGGAAGAAAAGCAGAAGAGUGAGUCAACCUGGUUGGACCUGAGCUUAUAAAUACUUCAUCAGCAUCUGCAGCAGAUAUGGGUGCGGUGAGUUAGCUUAGACCUGAGUGAAGGUGUCACAGAGCAAUUAAGCCAAGAAAAGGGAAGCUCAGACCCAACCCCCAGAGCCUUCUGAUUCUGCCCUGUAAAGAGGGCAAUUUUGCGAAUACAGCUGGUCCAAAAGAGGGCCAUUUUCUCAGGCAAUCACAUCCCAACCAAAGGGCUUGUGUAGGUUAAUUUUGCCCUUCGCCUCCUGGAAUUCUUGAACACUGUGCUUCCCACCACACUUCUGAGAAAGUGGUGAGCAACCAGCUGGCUCUUUCUCCAGCCCAGCUGUUCCUUGUUUGAAGGAUUUUCACUGAGUGAUUUUUAAAUGUUUUUACAAGGUGUUCAAAUUGGGCAGCCGCAUGUGAUAUGCAUCAAGUACAGAGUCUGGACAAGCAAUCACCAAGCACCAAGAGUGACCAGUUCUCAAGAACUUCUCAGCAAGGUCAUCUUUGGGAGGGAAUGCCCAAGGAAGAAAAACAUCAGAAAACAAAGGGCAGACACUGGCUUUGUUAAGUAGAGAUACUAUCUGAAAAUGACCAUUUGAGUGGGAAGGAAGCACAUGGGGAGAUGCAGAAACCCAAAUCCAAGCCCCCAGAAGGAUGGGGGGCGGGGUAUUUUCAACCUCGAGGGAGUUCUAAUAACUUACAGCUGGGUGACGCGGUACCCCUGUCCUCUAAAGACAUGUAUGAAUUUGCUUGGGGGGAAUGUUUCUUAACAUUGAGGGUUCACUGGAGAUGGUGCGAGUCAUCAGACCAGGCUACAGAAGUCUUCUGAAAGAAAGACUAUGGAAACAGGAAACUAUCUUUUUGUAAUAUUUUGAAUAGGGUACACAUUCGCAGGAUUCAAACUUCAAAAAAUAUAAAAAGGUUCACAGUGAAAAGUCUCCUUUUCACACCUACCCCCAUCUGCCUGGUUUCCAAACCUCUCUCACCUCUACUUGGGCAAUCAUUUUGCACCUCACCUAAUUCCUUUAUGUUUUUACAAGAGAACACAAAUAGAUAUUCUCAUUUCUCCUCCCCCCUGUUAUACACAAAAUGCACCAACUAUUUAUGCAGGCCUACCUUUUUCUUAACUGUCUUGUAGCUAUCUUGGAUAUCUUGGAUCCCUUCCCUGUCACGAGCACAUCUCAUUCUUUUUCUCAGUUGCAUGAUAUUCUAUUGUACGGAAUCUGUCAUCACCAUCUACCCAAUGGUACCCGAUUGAUGGGCACUUAGCGGCUCCCUAUAUGUCACCAUUACAACAGUGUUCUAAUUAAUAACCCUGAAUAUGCAUUAUGUCACAUGUGUACAAGUAUAUCUCUGUAGUCAAAUCCCAGAAGUGGAGCUCAAGGUAUAAGCGGUUACAAGCUGGGUAGAUAUCGUCAAAUUGCCUUCCACGGAGUUGUGCUAAUUUACCUUCCACCAGCAGUGGUUGGUAUUGCGACCAGACUGUGUUAUCAAAUUCUGGGAUUUUUGCCCACAUAAUAGGUAAAAAUGGGAUCUGUGUAGAGAAUUAAUUUGCAUUUCUCUUAUGAUGAGUGAGAUUGAACAUCUUUUGUAUGUUAAAGAGCCAUUUGUAUUUCCUUUUCUGUGAACCAGCUAAUCAUAUCUCUUGCACCUUCUUCUCUGGAGUUAUUGGCUAUAUUUAAAAGUCAGUUUAUUGAUUUUUAAAAUCGACUUUCUUUAUCAAUUUCAAGCUCUUUAUUUAUCAAGGACACUAGCCCUUGGUAACAUGAGGAACAGUGAAUAUAAACACAACUAAUCAAGAACUCUCUUGCUCAAAGAUGUUUGCAUGAGUUCCCAUAAAAUUCUUGACAAGGCAAGGCCUUCCAUCCCCACUCCUCAUGCUCUCCCCCAGCCCACCUUACGCAUCACCUCAGGUCACCCCAGGUUUCUAGUUGUCCCUCUCUCACUUGAUUUUCUUUCUUCUUUGUAUUAGUUUUUUCCUCUUCCUGGGAUGAAAUUUCCCCUUUGUCCUCCUGGUAACUUCCCGCUAAACUUCUCAAGGCCUAUGGCACUUCUCAUUGGAAAGAGCAGGUGGAGGGGGAGGCUCCUGGGUGGCCCAGUUGGUUGAGCUUCUGACUCUUAAUUUCAGCUCAGGUCAUGGUCUUACGUUUCAUGGGAUCGAGCCCUGGGUUGAGCUCUGUGCUGACAGUGUGGAGCCCACUUGGGAUUUCCUCUCUCUCCCUCUUUCUCUGCCUCUUUCUCUCUGUCCCUCCUUCUCUCUCUCUCUGUCUCUCAAUAUAAAUAAAUAAACUUUUUUUUUUUUUAAAGAGCAAGUGGGGGGGCGCCUGGGUGGCGCAGUCGGUUAAGCGUCCGACUUCAGCCAGGUCAUGAUCUCGCGGUCCGUGAGUUUGAGCCCCGCGUCGGGCUCUGGGCUGAUGGCUCAGAGCCUGGAGCAUGUUUCCGAUUCUGUGUCUCCCUCUCUCUCUGUCCCUCCCCCGUUCAUGCUCUGUCUCUCUCUGUCCCAAAAAUAAAUAAAGGUUGAAAAAAAAAUUAAAAAAAAAAAACUUUAAAAAAAAUAAAAAAUAAAAUAAAAAAAAAAAAUAAAGAGCAAGUGGGGACAAAAAGGAGUGACGACUUGAAACCGUGAGACUCUUUCCCCAAAUCUUAGUGAAUUGAGGGGAGAACCAGGCUGGGCAAUAGACCACGAAGCAGUGGUAAGUCAGGAAGUGGCAGUCAGUCGGAGACCCUGAGAGAGGCAGAGCAGUGUGAGGCCCAGGGAUGGGUGUGGCACAGUCCGCUAAGCGUCCGACUCUUGAUAUUGGCACAGGUCAUGAGCUCACGGUUCGUGAGUUCAAGCCCCACAUCGGUCUCUGUGUUGAUGGCGUGGAGCCUGCUUGGGAUUCUGUCUCUCCUUCUCUCUGCCCCUCCCCUGCAUGUGUGCUCUUUUUCUCUCUCUCAAAAUAAACAAAUAAACUUAAAAAAAUAAAGAACUCAGAGGUACCUUCUGGUAGGGACCUGCUCUAGGAGCAGCAGUUCAGCAUAUCCCACUCUGAGGCUCCCCCAAACACUCUUUUUCUUAUGUUCACUCAAUACAUGGGUUUUUUUGACACCUACCAUGUCCUAGGCACUUUGCUAUGAAUUGUAAUGGUGAUUACAACACCAGCCUGUCCCAGUCACUGUAGACUACCAGGAGAGAUGGACACAUACGGAAGGCAAUGUCAUAUGUGCUUUGAUGGAAGUGACCUCUGGGGUUUGAGGCAGCGCAGAGAGGCGGCUUGGCCCAGGUUUGGGGGUGUCAUGAAGGCUUCCUAGCAAAAACGACUCCUACGUCCAUUGGGACCCCUCAGAGAAUGGCAUCCCCAUGGGAGGCCCCUGAGAGCAUCUGUCCCGGGAUAGGGCAGUGAACUCUCCUGGGGCUUAGAAGGAGCCUCAAAGUGACAUACUUGACUUCCAGGUAAAGGAGGAGACUUUAGAGAAUCAAACUGAGAGACGCCUGCUUUCCUCCUUCUGAUCAUUCUGACCCAGACAGUCAAAUUCCCGCACAACUUAACGCCUCAAGAAGUAAUGUCUAUGCAAAUUCUAAGCCAAGAACAGAAGCUGUGCUUGGUAGAACCCAUUCUGCCUAAUUCGUGGCUGACUUUUGUAUUCGCUCUUAGCAUUUCCUGACGCCAUCUUCUGCACGGAUCGCCUCCCCCACCCUCCUCCAACUCCUUUAAGGGUCUCAGAUCUUCCCAGCAGUCUGACUGAGUAUUUACAUAGUCUGGACACGGCGAGGCUACGUUGACCGGCAGUGAGGACUACAGACCAUGGGUGCUUGGCUCUCAGGGCUUUCUCUUGGUUGCUGGUCCCCAAAUUUGCCCCUCCCCCAUGGGUCCUCAGGAGCCCUUGGGGUGGGCGGGGGUGGGGGGGAAGGGAAAACUCUUCAUUCAGAGUCUUCACUUCCACUGGGCACUAGUAUAGACCUGCGAAUUUCCUAUGCGGCAGAGAAAAGAGCUGUGCUGAGUAUGUUAGCUAAUUCUUAUUUAAAGCCCAGAGAGUCAGUCUUCAUCCUUUAUUGUGACCAGUUAGCGGAAGCAAGAAGUCAACAAGCCCGUAGGGCCAGUGCAUGUAACAGGAAAGUGGAUAUGAGUGGCAACUUCUCUUUUUCCCCUUGCAACUUAGAAUUCCCAAGGCCUGGCUGCCUGUUUUCUUUCAUCAGAGGAAGCAACGACACGGGGGGACCUGUGUGGCUCGUUCUUGCUCUGACAAGCACACGCCUCCACCAGGGUGCUAAAUAAGGAAAGCCCCCUUGGACUUGCUUUCGGGACCUUCAAUGAGAAAUGAAGGCCAGUCCAGAAAUCUGUAUUGACUUACCUCCAGCACAGAGAGUCUGGGGUAAUAGGAAGCUGAUUGCUGUGCUGUUGUCUUAUCUUCUCAGCCUAGCUACAAAAAGAAUGCCGCUACCGUGGCUGCAUCCGGACAGAACCUUCUAGGUCAGCUAGCUGUGGGGCAGCAUCAGGCAACUUGGUCUUCGUAAAAGGACGAGAGGCUUUUUGCCGCAGAAGCUCCUGUGUCUCUAACAUCUUAGAGAAGCAAUAGACCAGCAUCAAGGGUAUAGGUCAGAGUUGAUAAAUAUAGCAUAGCUAAAUUUCUCUCUCCUUCUUUCUGUCCCUCUCUCACAAGAGACAUUAGAACUAAUCAAUCACAGGACUUUUUUUCUUCUGAAAGCAUGUACCCUGCCGAGAGCCAUAGUUGCUGAUACAGAUUCUUGGGCUGCAGAGAAAGUGAAGAGAGGAGUAUUGAUCUCCUUUCCCGAGAAGGUUAACUUUUAUAGUAACGGAGUCUAAAGGGAUCCUUUGCUGACACUUUAUAAUUAGGAGCCCAAGUAGAUUCAUUUUUUUUUUCUCUUGGGGAGAAAAGCCCUGAGCUACUGGUUCACUGGGGGCAUCCUGACAGACAAGAGCAGGGGUGGGCCCAGGAGACCCUUUCCUGUCCCAGGAAGAGCCUACAAGACUGCACUGAGCAUGUUGGAGAUAGGAAUGUAGAGCGGAUACAUGGUCUCCGAAGUCAAUCCCCACCUCCCCCGGCGGCUGGGAGCCAAAAACCGGGGCUGCAGCCCGGGAGAAGGACACAGACGAUCCGCUGCCCAGGCGUGAAGUUUCUGGUGAUUCCUGAUACCCAGGAAGGCUGGAGAAGAAAAUAACUCCCACCAGCCUCCUCUUACAUGGCUUCAUUCAUUCGUUUGUUUAUUCACUGAGUCACCGACGUUUCCUGUGGCUCUAUCUUUGGCCAGGCAGUAGGACUUAGCUGUGGGGGUAUUAGCACAGAUUCCUGCUUCUGAAUCUUCUAACCUUCCCCAGCCAUCUCCCCCUCAGUCCUCGGGCAUGCAUUGCUUUGGGUGUGGACUGACAGAAAGACAGACAACACCACUGAGAUUGAAAACCAAGGCCAGGCUUUCCGUCUGCCAGAGCCUGGGAUGUCAACAACCAAGGUCCUAGCAGGGACUUUUCGGGGUGACGGGUCAUUUCUACAUCUCGGUUGUGGGGGUCCUUACAUGGUCACAUGCUUUGUCAAAACACACAGAAGUGGACCCUAAAAAGAAGGCAUUUUGCUUUAUGUAAAUUGCUACCUUAAGAAUAAAGAAAGUAUUAAUAUGCAGUGGAAAAAAGAAAACAAAUGCGUACAAUAUGACACUCUUUAUGUAAAAAUCUGUAAAUGCAUGUAACACUAGAAUAUACUUUUUACAUUUUUAUUUUUUUUUUUCCAACGUUUUUAUUUAUUUUUGGGACAGAGAGAGACAGAGCAUGAACGGGGGAGGGGCAGAGAGAGAGGGAGAAUCAGAAACAGGCUCCAGNNNNNNNNNNNNNNNNNNNNNNNNNNNNNNNNNNNNNNNNNNNNNNNNNNNNNNNNNNNNNNNNNNNNNNNNNNNNNNNNNNNNNNNNNNNNNNNNNNNNNNNNNNNNNNNNNNNNNNNNNNNNNNNNNNNNNNNNNNNNNNNNNNNNNNNNNNNNNNNNNNNNNNNNNNNNNNNNNNNNNNNNNNNNNNNNNNNNNNNNNNNNNNNNNNNNNNNNNNNNNNNNNNNNNNNNNNNNGGGGGGGGGGGGGGGGGGGGGGGGGGGGGGGGAGGGGGAGGGAGAGAAUCCUAAGCAGACUCCACCCUCAGCACGGAGCCCACCUGGGAUUUGAUCCCGCGACUGACGGUGAGAUGAUAACCUGAGCUGAAAUCAAGAGUCGGACGCUCAGCCAACGGAGCCACCCAGGCGCCCCUAGAAUAUACGUUUUAAGUGCACAAACAAGUUAUAACAAAACAGAAAUCUCUGAGGGACUGAGGAGCACUAGCUCUGGCAUUGUCAUCACUUGCAGAAGCUGGGGAUAGCGGAGGUAUUGGGCUCUAUCUAUAGCGAUUGAUUUAUUUUGUUUUUAAAAAAGAGGAGGAUCGGAAGCAAAUAUGACAAAAUGCUAAGGUCGGUUUGAUCUUGGUAGUGGGUACAGAGGUCUCAUAUUAUUUUCUGAUCUUUCUGUAGGUUAAAACGCUUUAUAAAAAAACUGGAGAUAUUUCAGCCACACACACACACACACACACACACACACACACACACACACGCGGCCCUAAAUGUCUCCGGUUCUAAACAAGAGAUGUGGAAGCUAGAGGCAAAUAAAUAACAGUGAAAAUGAAAGCAAGAGAGUUCGUGAGUGGGGUAAAUCCUGUGUUACCAGGCAGUGGUUGUAGGAAGAGACGUGGAGCAAGGGGUAUCUGAGCCUCCUUUCCAGGGAAGAAGCCCAGAAGUGGCAAACCUUAUAGUCCCCAGGGUCCUUGGAGGACCCGCGAACAGCUGGCAGAAUUUCCCACAUCCUGCAGCAUACAGAGACAACACAGUACUUCCCACAACUCAACAGGGGCGUGGAAGGAGCUGAGACAAACAAGAUCUGAGAGGAAGAGGGUCCCCAGAAGCGGCUGUGUAUGCUACCCUCGGAACAGAUGCCAAAAAUAAAUAUUUGGGUGAGUUGUAGAAAAAUAAAGAAUUUUUUUGUGACUGGCCCCUUUAAGCUUGUAUCCUUAGAACUUGGCUACAUUUAGGAUGGGUCAGCCGAGCCCCUGCUCUCAGGGGCCCACAGUCUGUCUGGGAGACAGAGAAGCAAGGAAACCAUAUCUACUGGGGAUAUGAUGCCUUCGGGGGAAAGGGGUAAUGAGUGACACGGGAGCUCCUGGCCCCGAAAACCGUUUUUGUGCGACUCCGCCGUCCCUCUCUCCAGUCCCACCUUUGGGAUAUAUAUGAGUUAUUAUUGCUAGGCAACAAAUCGCCUCGAAACUAAAUGGCUUCAGAUAAUCAACACUUAUCAUGUCACAAAGCUGGUGUGGGCUAGGAAUUUGGGAAUGGCUUGGCCAGGUGGUUUUGGCUCGGGGUCUCUCAGAAGGAUGCAGUCAGGACAUGAUCAGGGCUGCAGUCACUUGGAGGUUUGACUGGGGUGGGAGGGUCCACCGCCACCACAGCUCACUCAGAUGCUCCUUGUUGCCAGGCCUUAGUUCCUUACCACGUGAUCCUCCCCACGGGGUGCUUGAGCAUCCUCACAGCAUGGCGGCCGGCUUCCCCCAGAGUAAGCGAUCCCAGAGAAAGAGCAAGGAAGACUACAUCCUGAUCCAAAGAAGCUCAGCCCACACUCUAGGGGAGAGAACUAAGCUCCACCUCCAGAAGUGGGGGUGGGGGGAGUAUCAAAUUAUUUAUGGACUUAGUUUAAAACCACCAAAGGGCAGGAAGGAAGUCAGAUUUCCUGAAUUGCCCCACUGUCCCGAUCCCCAAAACGUGAUGGAUUAUCGUGGGUCCAGUGGUAAUAACAUGAGGAAGCCCACGUGACAAGCCUGGAAUUGGGACUCAGACACAGUUGGGAAAGGUUAGGGGUCUAAAUACAAGAGCAUAGUCAAAACGAUCACUGCUGGGAUAGGGCUCUCAGGAAGCCAGCACGGGGUGGGGGGCGGGGAGUAGAAGUCAGGCGUGAGCGCCGACAGCCAAGGUCUGAGCUGUGCUUUUACGCAGGAUGAUAGGAUCAAGGAGGGAUGGGGCAGGGCCCGAGAGGGACCCAGGAGGGGGCCCCAGGCCCCAGGCCCAGGGCCGGACUGCCCAGUGGGCCCCCUAAACAUGAGCUUUGAGACCCUCAGCGAACAAGAUUCUUCAGCGAACAAGAAUGUUGCAAUCUAAAUAUCCCGAGUAAGUUCGUUAUAAUUUCAACACUUGGGUAAGUUUGUGAGUCAGUAUUGUUGUAAGCUUGUGUUUUAUGAGCCAGUAUUGUUUUUAUUUUAAAUUUUAUUCUGAAUUACAUAAUGGGGAUGGGAGGGGCAUCGAGAAUCUCUGAAGCAGAAUUUGCCGAUUGGCGUAUCGUAGCGCACCGAUAAACUGUUCGUGGGGAGGGCCUCCUCCAGAGCCGCGAAGCUAGUGGCCAGUACAGAGAACCUGCCAUAAGGGGCAGCGGUGGGGGCUGACCUCCAGCCUGUGUCCUGUCCACCACGCCUGGCAUCCUGGUGCAGGGACGAGCCAGCCUGCAGGGAAGGACACAUUUUUGUUAUUGCUAGUUUCCGCUAGCUGCUGGCUCGGCCAGUAGGUUAUAGACCUGUUGAAAUACGGAUGCCUUUGGCCCUUGGGGAAGGAGGCCAGGCAGGCUAAGAGAGCACCCUGGAGCACCCGGGCCAGAUCCCUUCUACCAGGAGCAGCCUGCCCAGUGUCCAAAUGGGAAGGAAGGAAGGAAGGAAGGAAGGAAGGGGGAGAGAAGAAGGAAGGUAGGAAGGGAGGGAGGGAAGAAGGAAGGAAGGAAGGANNNNNNNNNNNNNNNNNNNNNNNNNNNNNNNNNNNNNNNNNNNNNNNNNNNNNNNNNNNNNNNNNNNNNNNNNNNNNNNNNNNNNNNNNNNNNNNNNNNNNNNNNNNNNNNNNNNNNNNNNNNNNNNNNNNNNNNNNNNNNNNNNNNNNNNNNNNNNNNNNNNNNNNNNNNNNNNNNNNNNNNNNNNNNNNNNNNNNNNNNNNNNNNNNNNNNNNNNNNNNNNNNNNNNNNNNNNNNNNNNNNNNNNNNNNNNNNNNNNNNNNNNNNNNNNNNNNNNNNNNNNNNNNNNNNNNNNNNNNNNNNNNNNNNNNNNNNNNNNNNNNNNNNNNNNNNNNNNNNNNNNNNNNNNNNNNNNNNNNNNNNNNNNNNNNNNNNNNNNNNNNNNNNNNNNNNNNNNNNNNNNNNNNNNNNNNNNNNNNNNNNNNNNNNNNNNNNNNNNNNNNNNNNNNNNNNNNNNNNNNNNNNNNNNNNNNNNNNNNNNNNNNNNNNNNNNNNNNNNNNNNNNNNNNNNNNNNNNNNNNNNNNNNNNNNNNNNNNNNNNNNNNNNNNNNNNNNNNNNNNNNNNAGGAAGCAAGGAAGGAAGGAAGGAAGGAAGGAAGGAAGGAAGGAAGAGGGAGAGAAGAAGGAAGGUAGGAAGGGAGGGAGGGAAGAAGGAAGGAAGGAAGGAAAGAAGGAAGGGAGGGAGGGAGGAAGGAAGGCCACCUGAAUCCAGUCCUAACUAGGCUACUAACCACUCAAGUAUCGGCGCAGUCCCUUGGGCACGGCUGUGCAUGCAGGUGAAGGUUUCCUUACGGUCUCUUGCUAAAUAAUCGAUCCCCAAGUAUGGGUAGCACAGGAGGCCAGCGCGAAUCAAGGACGCAUGGAAGCAGAGACCGAGAGAAGCAAAGACUCGGGUAGCUACCACCCAGGGUUCGGCCCCCGUGGCCGGCUGGGGAGCAGCGUGCCGAGAAGGCGGAACGGGCCCAUUCUCCCAGAGCUUUGGAAGCCCACCGCUGGUGGCAGAAUGUCAGCAGCGCUCAGGCCAUUCUGCUCCACUCCCUGAUCCUUGUGGGGCCGUGCCUGAACCCCCCUCUGAAGUGCCCUUCCCUUUAGAGAGCUCCAUUCCGCCAGAGGGGCUCUGAGUUGGUCCAGAGCAGUGAAGGGAUCUGCGGCCAGACCCUCUAGCAUAAUAAAGCCUGAAUCUGAUAGGAAGAGGUCGUUUGGGACAGCUUUGUUUGUCCGCGGGAUUUGGAGUCAGGGGCCUGCGGGCUGGGGUGUGCUGAAGGAAGUGACAUAUGCAAAUGAGUCACAUGCCUGCCCUGCGGAGACUGACAGCUUUAUCACGAAGUACCCCAGUCUCCCCGGGCCUGUGUAUAAAGAGGCCUGGAGCCUUCUCUUGUCUUUUGGCAACGAUCCAGCUUACUCAGGCAUGACUUCGCACAGAAAUCGGGUUUGGCUUUAAAAACGCUCCUUGUGAUGGUAGCUCUGCAGCCAAGACAGGCUCUGUGCUGAAUUAUUGAGCGGGGCGCCUGCUUGCCUGCCUCGGCCCAGAGCCUUUCUUCUCUGUAGCUCCGUGGCCUGACAAGUCAGUUUCAAUACGCAGCGACGCAAGGCCCUGUGCUCGCUCGGCCUGAUGCUGGGCCAGAUUCCAGACGUGCUUGUACAGCCGCCAACACACCCCGGGCACCAGGCUUUACUCCAGGGUCACGGGCCCUACAGAUUCAGACAAAUGGAUAUCUCGAUGGUCUCCAAGCUGUCGUCCUGUAGGAAUCCUGUAUCAACAUAUCUAACACCAAUAUCACGAAUCAACGCCCCAACCAGCUUCUUCACCUGUUUUCUCUAUUUUGAUGAAUGGUGCCACCAUCCACCCAGGUGCCUGAGCCCAGGUCUCGGCUUCACUCUUCAUUCCUGUCGCCUCCCGUCUCUGCAACAUGGCAUUGGUCUCCGAGUUUGUCUAUGCAGCCUCUCAGAUAUUUCUCAGUGGGGCGCCUGGGUGGCUCCGUCGGUUGAGCGUCCGACUUCGGCUCAGGUCGUGAUCUCACGGUCCGCGGGUUCGAGCCCCGCAUCCGGCUCUGCGCUGACAGUUUAGGGCCUGAGGCCUGCUUUGGAUCCUGUGUCUCCCCCUCUCUCUGCCCCUCCCCCCGCUCGUGCUCUGUCUCUCUCACUCUCAAAAACAAAUAAACAUAACAUUUUUUUUUAAAUUAAAAAUAAAAAACAAAAUUCUCAGAUGUAUUCAAUCGUCCCCAUUCUCACCACUCCUGACUUGUGGCUGCUAUCUCUCCUCUGGGCUCCUGACCUACUCAAGCUCCCUUUCUCCCAUCCUUCGGCAACACCAUCUAAUCCUAUCAUUGUCCAACCUUCGUUGGUUCUUAUUCAUUGCAGGAUAAAGUCUAAAGCAUGGUCGUCAGAGAGAGCUCACUUUGAAUGUGUUCUGCCACUUGCAACAUAUGACAUUGGUCAAGUCAGCCUGUGAAAUGAGAGUAAUAGCAAUGGUGAGGAUUGAGGUAAUGUGACAUAGUUCAGGAUCCAGUGUCUAGAAAGUACCAGAAAUGCUAACCUUUGUUGCUAUUCACAUCCUGGCUUCCCCUGCCCUGUCCCUCUUUAUCUCCUGACCAGAGGGUCAUAUCCUACCCAACCACACACAUUCCCUGAGCGUGCCCUGCCAUCUCAUGUGUUCGCACUUUGGGUAUACCGUUCUCCUGCCUGGAAUGACCUCUAUCUCCUUAUCUAGCCAACGACUUGCUACUCAUUCUUAAAGGCCCAUCUCAAAUAUUACCUUCCUCGAGACGGUCCUGAUGCUCCCAUCUCAGCAUUUUCUUAACUUUUGUGACUCUCUUACAACCUGUUACCUUGAAAUAUUCUCAUGCGCGCCUGUCUUAGCAUGCAGUGAGCGCUCUAGGAACAGAGACAAUUAGCCAUUCAAACGUUCAUUCGCUAACAGGCGUGUGGUAUUUCUCACGGGCCAGGCAUAGUGCUGGGUGCUGCAGACACAAAAUGGCAUUAAACACUAUCUCUAUUAAUCAGGGCGCUUAAUUGCCAACAAUAACAUCCACUAUUUUAUUGUGGAAAGACUUUUAUUCCAGAGAAUUGUGCCGCUCCCAGAAUCGUGGCAAGGGCCAGGGCCAGGCUUGGUGUCUAUACAAGUGCCAGCAAUGAAGCUGGGAACUGCAGACUAAGAAAAAGCACCAACUCCAUUAAGGCAAUGUUCUAGUCGGAAACACCAUAAUUAUAGCCAUCCUGUGCCGGGGGCCGGAUUUUAGAAACUCACCUGUACCUGCCCCCAAAGGAUCAGAUAUCACCACCAAGGUUUCCAGAAGGUCUCUUCAGUUUUUGUUCUAUUUAAAGUCUCAUACGGGGGCAUCUGGGUGGCUCAGUCGGUUAAGCAUCCAACUUCGGCUCAAGUGAUGACCUCUCGGUCUGUGGGUUCGAGCCCCGCGCCGGGCUCUGUGCGGACAGCUCAGAGCCUGGAGCCUGCUUCGGAUCCCGUGCCUCCGUCUUUCUCUGCCCCUCCCCCACGCUCGCAGUCUGUCUGUCGCUCUCUCUCAAAAAUGAACAAACGUUUAAAAAAAAUAAAGUCUCAUACAGGUAUACCUGCUUGAUGGAACUUACAUUACCUUUCUAUAUCCCAGCUGCCAGGCGGUCUCGUAAAUGCAAUUUUUAGCUUUCUAGCUCCAACAGGAAAAUGCGCUACGAAGGGUUUGCAAUGAGCUGGAGUGAGCCAAACUACAAUAUCCUGGCUCUUAAAGCGCUCUGGCUUGGGGGGAGAGUCAGGCAAGCCGACAGAUGGUACAAUGUUAUCACUGUAGCAGGGGGCUGGGCACCAGAACAGCAGUCCCCAAGCCAGGUGAGGGGUUCCGUGUGCAAGAUAAAGCUGUGUAUGCCAAGUUUUAAAAGCUUGCAUUUUACGCUGAAGGCAUGGGGUAGUCACUGAGUGAUGUGGUCCUACUUUAGUCCGGGAAUGAUGAACCUGGAUUGGAGAGGAGCAAGUCUAGAGUGAAAAGGCCAGUUAGGAGAGCACUGCAGGCAUCUGGGUAAAGUGAUGAUGAUCUGAGCCAAAGAGGCAGCAAUAGGGCUAGAGAAGAAGGACAGGGAUGGAAAAUAGUUUAGCCCCAGUGACAGACUGACCACGAAGGAAGGCCUUGGAAGUCAGUGGCCAAAUCGCGGUUCGGGUGGUUGGGUAGAUUAUGGUACCUCUGCUUUUCUUCUGGCCCUUCCUACUUAUCUCGUUUUAGGGAAACUCUCCUUUCAGGAAACCAUGGGGUCGUGAGGACCUGACCUCCUCACCCCUUACAAGUAGACAUUUAGCCAGGCUGUCCGAUCAGAGCCCCCCACCCUCAACCACAGAGAUGGGUGCAGGUGUGGUCACGUGACCCAACCUGUGCCAGUCAAUUAGGAAUGUACCCAGGCUUGGCCGGACCCAUCACAGAGAAGCUGGUGUGUUUCCAUGAGGUUGACGAGUUGAUGCAUGAAACUCUAGAGUGUCCAGGAGCCGUUUUCCCAUCAGGUAUCUCCAAUCGAAUACCAAGGUGCAGGAUGUUACCGGGAGGUUGACUGGCUAAGGAAGAGGGGACGAGAGUCACCCAGAGUGAUGUAAUUUGCAUCUCCUGCACCAACAGCAACACCUACAUGUAGUGAGUGCUCAGUUACGUUUAAUGAGUGAGGAAAUGAAUGAAGCCUUUAAAAUGUGUAUUUAUAAAUACAGAAGGGUACUUCUGUCAUGUCAUUUAAAAAGUCAAACCUUGAGGGGCGCCUGGGUGGCGCAGUCGGUUAAGCGUCCGACUUCAGCCAGGUCACGAUCUUGCAGUACGGGAGUUUGAGCCCCGCGUCGGGCUCUGGGCUGAUGGCUCAGAGCCUGGAGCCUGUUUCCGAUUCUGUGUCUCCCUCUCUCUCUGCCCCUCCCCUGUUCAUGCUCUGUCUCUCUCUGUCCCCCAAAAAAUAAAUAAAACGUUGAAAAAAAAAAUUUAAAAAAAAAAAAAGUCAAACCUUGAGGGGCGCCUGGGUGGCUCAGUUGAUUAAGCAUCUGACUUUGGCUCAGGUCACCGUUGGUGCGUUCAAGCCCUGCAUCAGGCCCUGUGCUGACAGAAAGGAACCUGCUUUGGAUACCCAUCCCCCUCUCUCUGCCCCUCACCCACAUAUUCUCUCUCUUCUUCAAAAAUAAAUAAACAUUUAUUAAAAAAAAAAAAAAGUUGAGCGCCUGGGUGGCUCAGUCUGUUGGGCAUCCGACUUCAGCUCAGGUGAUGAUCUCACAGUUUGUGAGUUUGAGUCCCGCGUCGGGCUCUGUGCUGACAGCUCAGAGCCUGGAGCCCGCUUCCGAUUCUGUGUCUCCCUCCCUCUCUGCCCCUCCCCUACUCACACUCUGUCUCUCUCUCUCUCUCUUUCUCUCUCUCUCUCAAAAAUAAAUAAACAUUAAACAAAUUUAAAAAAUAAAAAAAUAAAAAGUCAAACCUUGAGAUUAAAAAAAAAUCUAUCAAAUGGAUUUAUUGGACAUGCAGAAAUUUAAAAACAGGUAGAUUCCUUGUUUUCUUGGGGGCAGUAGGCGAGGAUUACACUGGGCAUAUUGUUUUGUAUUGCACGUGAUUUCCCUCGAAUGGUUGAAGAUAUAGAUGAAUAAUAUUAAACAUAUUGCAUUACUAAAUACUGUAUUCAACUAGAUCCCCAAUUCUUUUCCUUUAAAUGGUUGAUGCCGUAAAAAAUAAUCCGUGUAACAGCAGGACUCACUUUCAAAGUCUUGGAAACCUGUUUUCUAGGGGCUGGUGCACCCAGACAGCGGGUCUUAUUGAGUUGCAAAAACAACAAAGGCGAUAUAAGUUAAAUUGCUAUUUUAAUCAAGUAGGGAUCGAACAUACGAUAAGAUAUGUAAUACAUUUUGCUUCACAUCGUGUACCGUGAUUCAUCCACAACUUUUGGUUUGCAUGUGUGCUACUGAGCCCAAUUAAACAUCUAGCCACGGUCCUUCCUCGUCACUCCUUCCUUUGGCUAACAAAGAUACGAGAAAUCGGGAGAACUUGCAGACCUGGCCAUGGGUAAUUCAUUUUCUUUCCAUUUCUCCACUUAUACCAGGAACCAACACUUGUUUUGAGCUUUAAUUAAACAAAUUGCCCGGAAGGUAUUAGCAACACGUUUCUCUCAGGCUGGGAAUCUGCGGGCGCGGCUGGUAGUUGGGAGUCUGUCCUGGGCUGUUGGGCAAUCGAGGGAGAGGAACCCUGAAGAGAGAGGAGAAGAAGGAAAGUGGCACAGCGCUUGCACGUGUCUCCUCCCUAAGUUGUGGCAAUAAACAAGCCAGGCAGGAAGGCACCCCCCCCCCCCCCCCCCAUCUCUCUGUGUCCUUUCCUUUGCCUCCGAACAGUCUCUGGCUGUGUUCUUACCAGGGUCACAUCUCCCUCGUCCCCUGAGCCUGACGGAGGGAGUGUUUGCAGAAAGGAAGCCCGAGAACUUGGGAGUAUGGGAGCACGUCUUCUAUCAAAGGAUGAAAAAAAUAGUCACACACAUGCGAGCAGGCAAUUUGCAAAUCCCCUGGGAAAUUCUGCCCAGGGUUAUUCAGCUACCCCCCUAUCGCCUUUGUCUGCAAGGCAGAGUUACCACAGGGGUAAUUCGCGGCAUCAGGGGCUUGGGCAGAGAGGGGCACCCCGUGGCAGCAGGUAUUCUGCUAACCAGAUGUCACCGCUCUCUACUCCCCCAUCUCCUUUCUGGCCCUGUCUGCUUUCCUCCUCUCAGACACCCUCUUGGUCACACAGUCCUCUGGCUAGCUCAUAUACCCUUUCCCCCUUGUUCGGGAGAAAACGCUGUAUUAUUUUAUAGUGACCUUUCCAAGAGCAGACACAAAGGAGGUAAGAACGGGUGUAAGAAGGGACUGGCAUACCAGCCAGAACAGGUGCUGAGUUAACAUUUGUUGAAUGGCUGAUACACAGACAAGCAUCUAGAUAACUCCUAGAACCAAAGAAGCUUUGAAAGUAAUACAGAAAAAAAACCAGAUCGUUCUUUCCCCACUCUUCCAUCCGACGCUACCCUGCCACGGGCUUCUCUGGACUUCCCCCUCCACACAGACAUUGUGGACCUCAACAUGCUGCCCUAACCUAGCUAAGCCCCCAGAUGAUUAAAUAAACCACGUAUCUGGAGGAGUGGAGGGGCCAGUUUAGUAGGUGAGAACCCCAGACCAUGUUGAGGUCUGGAGAGCCCCAUUAUAUCUAACAGCACAUAAACCACAGCUUAUAAGGCUAAAAACGUCCCCACUUGGUCUGAUCCUUUUUGGUCAACUCAGACUAGAGGUAGCCGUUAGUACUAAAAUGAAUAACAAUGCUAUUAUCUUUGAGCGGACCUAUCAUUUGUCAAGCACGUCCUCAAAUUCUUUUAUUCAAUUAUACAUAACUUUAGUUCUGUCACCCCACCUCGCAGCUGGGCACACUGAGGUUCAGGACGAUUAGAGGACUCAUCUAGAUGACACAUGGAACACCGGCCGUGCCACGAUUUGAACCCGGAUCUGUCUCCUUCCCUACCGGGCACUGUGAUAAGCCACAUGAAGAAGAGAGCACGUUCAUGUGCAUUGCCUGUCAACAAAGGGUACCAGGUAUUCAACUACUGCAUUUUAAAUUUUUUUUUCAACGUUUUUUAUUUAUUUUUGGGACAGAGAGAGACAGAGCAUGAACGGGGGAGGGGCAGAGAGAGAGGGAGACACAGAAUCGGAAGCAGGCUCCAGGCUCCGAGCCAUCAGCCCAGAGCCUGACGCGGGGCUCGAACUCACGGACCGCGAGAUCGUGACCUGGCUGAAGUCGGACGCUUAACCGACUGCGCCACCCAGGCGCCCCUCAACUACUGCAUUUUAGAAGUCAAAGCUGACUUUCCUACAGGCCGCCUUUCUUCUUAGGAGAGUCCCAUUUUGCCUGUGAUGGAGACAGAUGUCCCCAUAGAAAACCCUGGUGACCCAUUAAAAUGUUAUGAAAACUGCCUCUGGCCAGACCGGUAGGAGCCAAGACGAGAACACAAAGCACAUCCUCUGGUGAUUUAAGGAAGCGUUGGCCUCACCACCUAGUGGGGCUUGUACAGGUGCAAAUGCUAUUAGGCAAAGCCACAGAAAUAACAGAGUGAAUUAAGCUUUAAUCUCUGAACCAUUGUAAGGAUAAUGAGUGCACUUUAUAAUAAUUGCCAGAAGUGAGAGCAGGGAAGAAAACAUUGGAAAAGGCCGCAGCUUCAGUUUCUUCCUUUGCAAACCGGGAGUGUAGUACCAGCCAAGCUCCUGAGCCCACAGAAGGCUAGAAUAAAAAUGCUCCGCGAUUAACGAAGAGGAAACAGAUUUAGAAAGAGGCCCGCUUUACCAAUGGGUCUGCCAGCCUCCAGCUCCUAGCUGACCGUUGACCAUGAUGACCACAAGCCUGCCCUGAGGCAGGCUCUCCUGUGCAUUUUCCCCGUAGGCUGGAAAUCCAGCUCGCUUAUAUAACAGGCUUCGAGGCAGCACUCGUCUUUAAGCAGGAGGGACCCCGGAUUACUCCCCCAUUUCUAUGGCUUCCGGGGCAGGCAUUCCCAGCUUCCUGGGAAUUUGGUGAACCACCCGAAUGUGUCUGCCAAGCCUCUCUCUUCUGGGUGUAUUUGAUUCAUUGUUGUCCAGAACCCCCAGUGGGUAACAUUCGCCCGUCACGUUGGGUUGUUGUGCCCGGGGAAGCAGAGCGCCAAUGGGGGUAACUGGGUACGGCUUCUGUCUUUCUCUUGUUUCUGUCCUCACUGUUGCUUUUUCUCAGAGGAAGAGACAUUUACCUGUAGAACCACAAGAAAGCCCGCAGAGGGUUCUCGGGAAGACAUAACUGUUCCAGCCGCCGUCAACAUUUGUGUACAAAUACCUGUUUGGGUAUCUGUUUUCAAUUCUUUGGGGUAUAGAUCCAGGAGUGGAAAUUGCAGAGUCUUAUGGUUGAUUUCCACGUAUGCGUUAAUGUCCAGAAUAAGGAAAAGCAUAGAGAUAGCAAGCAGAUUGAUGGUUUCCGAGGGCUGGGAGGGACAGGGCAGUAGGGAAUGACUGUUAAUGGCUACGGGGUUCCUUUUGAGGGGACGCACAUGUUUGGGAACUUCAUAGAGGUGAGAGUGGCACAACACUGUGAAUGUACUAAAUGCCCUUCAACCGUACAUUUUUAAGAUGGCUAUAAAUUUGUUAUGCGAAUUUCACCUCAAGAAUUAUUUAUUUAUUUAUUUUUUAAUGUUUCUUUAUUUUUGAGAGAGAGAGAGAGAGAGAGAGAGACUGCAAGCAGGGGAGGGGCAGAGAGAGAGGGAAGCACAGAAUCUGAAGCGGGCUCCAGGCUCCGAACUGUCAGCACAGAGCCUGACACUGGUCUCAAACUCAGAGACCAGUUAAGCGUCCGACUUCGGCUCCGGUCAUGAUCUCGCGGUUCGUGAGUUCGAGCCCCAUAUAGGGCUCUGUGCUGACAGCUCAGAGCCUGGAACCCGCUUCAGAUUCUGUGUCUCCCUCUCUCUCUGCUCCUCUCCUGCUCUCACUCUGUGUGUCUGUCUCUCUCUCAAAAAUAAAAAUAAACAUAAAAAAUAAUUAAAAAUAAAAAGCACCUCCAAUACCCGAGACCUGCCUUCCCAGGGAAGUACAAUAGGAGAGAAACACAACUGAGAGCUUAAGAGCCUCAGACACCUUGAUGCAGUUGUGGUGCAGUCGUAUUUUAUGGGGGAAAGGAGUGGUCUGGUAGCUUCAGAUUCAUGAAAGACAAAAAUCUUCAUAUUGUCAUUAUUACCAUAGGCGUUUCUUAAGAUACGGUAAGCUCUUUCCAUUGCUUUCGUAAGUAGUAUUCAUAGUCCUAGCAACAACAUUCCAGACGGUUCUUCUUAUGAACCUCAAGGCUGAGAACCACUGGUCUAGACUGAAAGAAGGGAAAAAGGCAAGUGUAUGAUGCACAUCUUUGGUCCUUCCAAAUAUGGCGUCUUGAAGAUAAAGAGGGGGAGGGAUCAGGCAUGGCAACUCUCGUUAAUAACACCGUAUUGCAUAUUGAAAGCUGCUAAGAGGGGCGCCUGGGUGGCGCAGUCGGUUAAGCGUCCGACUUCAGCCAGGUCACGAUCUCGCGGUCUGUGAGUUCGAGCCCCGCGUCAGGCUCUGGGCUGACUGCUCAGAGCCUGGAGCCUGUUUCCGAUUCUGUGUCUCCCUCUCUCUCUGCCCCUCCCCCGUUCAUGCUCUGUCUCUCUCUGUCCCAAAAAUAAAUAAACGUUGAAAAAAAAAAAAAAGAAAGCUGCUAAGAGCAAAUCUCCGAAGUUCUCGUCUCGUCUCGUCUCGUCACAAGAAAAAAAAAUUCUGUAACUCUGUGCAGUGAUGCAAUUUAACUAGAUUUACUAUGGUGAUCAUUUCACAACAUAUACAAAUACUGAAUCAUUAUGUCGUACACCUGAAACUAAUAUGUUAUAUGUCAAUUAUAUCUCAAUAAGGAAAUGAGCAAAACAUUCCAAAAAUACACAGCAGAACACAUCAACAAAUGGGAAAACAUACCAUCUUUUCUGACAAGAUGACACAAUGUCAUUUUCCUCUCUUGCAUCGAGAUCCGCUGAUCUUCUUAAUUCGAUUUUUAAAUUCAGCAUAAUGUCAAUAAACCUGUGCAUAAUUAAAAAAAAGGGUAGGAAAUUUUGAAAAUGUUCCUACUCGUUUGUAGGGUUUAGUUCCAUUCUGUGUACAUAUUAAAACUCUAGAGUAUUAAUACAUGUUAAUAGAUUUUUUGUUAUGAUGUCAUCUCAUUUGGGGGAGAGUUGAGACAGGUUGGGCUCUAUUAAAGGAUAAUUAUUUUUAAUUAAAGAGGUAAAAUCAUGAUUCUCAUAUAGAUAUAAAAUGAUCGCAUGUCAAGGAUUUUAUUAAACUCAUUAAUUGACAAGGGAGAACUUGAUUAGCUGCCACCCAGGCCAUAGUCUCUAUUCUUUCACAUGGGUGCUGUCCUUCUCCACUCAGCUCAGCCUGGCAGACCCCUCCAGACCCCAGCUGGGCCGGGACCGUUGUUCCUUUUCUGACAUUUCUUAGCCUCAGAUGCUUCCUCUCCAUGAACCCUACUGAGCUGGUGGAUGGGAUGGCCCCUGAAUGGGGUGAAAUUACAAUCAUCAGUUUGAAACAAAGAGAACGAUACUACAGACCCAAUAGGACCUAUCGGACAGACCCAAUAGGACCUAUCGGUCUCCAUGCUAAAAGGCAGCUUUUCUCUGAGCUGGAAACUGCGAGGUCUGGAGGGAGAUCAAAGGGAGAGAGAAGGAGCAUGGGGCUGAGCACCCCCACCCUUGAGAAGGCUGCUAUCCAGGCUGGGGAAGUGGAGGCCACUCUGUAUUAGUCAGGAAUCUCCAGAGAAACAGAAUCAAUAGAACAUGCACAUAUAUAGAAAGAGAGAUUUAUUUUAAGAAAUUAGCUCAUAUGAUUACGGAUGCUUGGCAAGUCCAGAAUCUGCAGGAUGGGCCAGCAGGCUGGAGACAUAGGGGUGAGUCAAUGUUGUGGUUCAAGUCCAAAGGCCAUCUGCUGCAGAAUUUAUUCUUGCUCAGGGGAGGCCAGCCUUUUGUUCCAUUCAGGCCUCCAUCUGAUUGCAUGAGGCCUACCCACAUAUGAGGAGCAAUCUGCUUUAUUCAAAAAUCCACUAAUGUAAAUAUAAAGUUCAUCUAAAAACAGCCCCAUAGACACAUCUACAGUGAUGUUAGACUAAAUAUCUGGUCACCUUAGCAGAAGUUGACACGAGCUGACACACAAAGACCAUUACACAUUCCCAGGACCGUAGCCUGGGUCUUUGGAGCCCAUGGGUCAGUGGUCCAGGUGCUGAAGACUGCUGAAGAACAAGGCUGGUGCUGAGAGAAGGGGAAGGGAAAUAUGGCUUCAGAGUGGCCAAACAGAAGGUUAGGAAAAACCCAGCCCAACCUUAUUACUCCCCUGUCCAGCCCUCUACCUCCUGCCCCCUGUCCCCUAGAGAAGAUUUGCUACCUGUCCAACCUCCAGGCUUAUCAAGGCAUUUCUACUGAGCUCGUAAAAUGAGCCACGAUAGCUCGUCAUGGCCUCGUUCAGCUGGACCAUUCUUGUGAAGGCCCAACAAGCAGCCUGGAAAAUCUGAACAUUCUUCACUUAAUUCCUGGGGUGCCCUGUGAUGGCUUCACAGAUUUACGGUCAACCGUGGUUGCAGGGGAAGAGUGCUGGGACCUGGCAGUAACCUGCUGUGUGACACCGUAGAGGAAGAUUAACCACCCUGGAACCAAUGGUUUCUCUUUAUCUCUGUUGAGGCUUUGGGCCCUUGACAGUGUGUUGAAUAAUGCCCCCCUGCCCUGCCCCCCAAAGGUAUGCUCAUGCCCUAAUCCCUAGAACCUUUGAAUAUGACCUUAUGUGGAAAAGGGGCCUUUUUGGUUAUAAUUAACUUUAGGAUCUUGGGAUAAGAUCAUCUUGAUUGUGUAGGCGGGCCUAGUUCCAAUAACAGUUUUCCUUGUGAGAGAAGGGCAGAGGGGCACUGGAGUUCGAGAAAGAGGCCACACGAAGACGAAGGCAGAGACUGGUAUUGGGGGUCACGGGCCAGGGUGUGCCUGGAACCACUGGAAGCCGGAAGAGGACAAGAAGGUUACUCCCCCAGGGCCUUCAGACACCUAUGUCAAUGUUCCGGCCUCUAGAACUGGGAGAGAAUUAAUUGCUGCCGUUUUAAACUGCCACGUUUGUGGUGACUUGUGAUAGAUUAGCCCCAGGAAACUAAUAUACCCUCUUGGUGGCCCUUAGAAGUUGUCUGAGGCACUGUGGAUCCAGAUAACAAACACUGGCAGGCUGCCUGAGAUGAGACAGACGAAGUGUCCUGGCCACAGAGAAGCUGUGAUAACAUGCACAUGUGUGUGAAUUCAUCCACCCCCCCCCCCCCUCACGGUCUCAAGAUCUCUUUAUCGAGAACCAACCACAUGGUAGGCGUCAUGUUGGGUACUGAUGAUCAGGGGAUAAUCAAAACAUCUUGGGAGGGGCAGCUUCACAGCUGAUUGCCACCCGCGUCCCUUGGUCGGACCAGUUCUUUUUUAGAAACUAUUUUUUUUUUUAACGUUUACUUAUUUUUGAGAGAGAGAGAGACAGACAGCGCAAGUGGCGGGGGGGGGGGGGGGGGGGGGGGGGGGGGGGGGGGGGUGGGGUGGGCAGAGAUGGAGGGAGACACAGAAUCUGAAGCAGACUCCAGGUUCCAAGCCGUCAGCACAGAGCCCAACAUGGGGCUCGAACUCCCGAAUCGCGAGGUCAUGACCUGAGAUGAAGUCGGACGCUUAACCGACUGAGCCACCCAGGCGCCCCCAACAAUAAAGCAUUUUUUAAUUAAGGUAUCUACAUUGUUUUUAGACGUCAUGCUGUUGCACACUUACUAAACCACAGUGCAGUGUAGACGUAACUUUUAUAUGCACUGGGAAACCAAAAAAUUCAUCUGACCCCCUUUAUUGCAGCGCUCGCUUUAUUGCAGUGGUCUGGAGCCAAACCCACAAUAUCUCCGAGAUAACGCUUGUAUUUGCACAGGCCUCAGCUGUGCUUGAAUUAACUUCAAUUUCCUCAUCUGUAAAAUGGGGGUGAUGGCUCGUAGGGCUGCUGAAUGGAUCGGAUGCUCAAUACUCAAUAAACAGCAGCGGUCACUAUUUUUACAGAACUGGUCCCUUUGCAUAGUUGUCCUCUGGCUCUCAUUCGGAGGCCUGGGGUCCCUUCUGGUCUAACCCGGAAAGUUUUGUUUUUCUGCUAGCGCCAGGCAGGCACCUUUCAGAAGGUGCGAGGACAACUGGCAAUGAAGAGAGCACCCGGCAAAGCACACGUGGGCCUUCAGUAUGACUCGACCGCGUGCCUGCCUGGAUUUUCAAAGAAAGGAAAUGGCAGCAGUGAAGACAGAUGUCAGGGCCCGUGACUCUACCAGCCUCCUUCACGCUCAGAGCCACUAUGCGACGCAACUCUGGGGGCCCAUUAGAACAACACUGGUGGAUGUAGCAGCCCCUUCCCGGCAACCUGUCCUCUGACGUGGGGAAGAAUGAGAAUUUGGACUUUCAGAUGCUAAUUCCUCCUCACCUGAGUCCUGAGUUUUAUAUAUUCAUUAAAAUGGCAGUGGGUGUGCAGACAAGUUCUUGUACGUACGUGUUCAUAGCAUCACCGUUCACGACAGCCAAAGGUGGAGACAACCCAAAUGACCUUCAGCAGAUGGCGGGAUAAACAAAUUGCGGCGUAUGCAUUUACUGGAAUGCGAUUCCGCCACGGAGAGGAGUGAAGCACUGGUACAUGCCACAACUUGGAUGAAACGCAAAAACAUUAUGCUAAAUGAAAGAAGCCAGGGGGCCCCUGGGCGGCUCGGUGGGUUGAGUCUCCGACUUCGGCUCAGGUCAUGAUCUCACGGUUCCGGGGUUCGAGCCCCGCAUCGGGCUUUCUGCUGUCGGCACAGAGCCCGUUUUGGAUCCUCUGUCUCCCUCUCUCUCUCUACCCCUCCUCUGCUCUCUCUCUCUCUCUCUCUCUCACACACACACACACACACACGCACACACAUACAAUAAAAAAAAUUGAAAUAGCUUUUGUUGUGUGAAUUUCACCUUUUUUUUUUUUUUUUACUGACACUUCACCUUCCAACACGAAAGAAUCCUGAACGAUUCUCAAAGAGCCUGAUCUCAAAGAUAGCCUCAGGGCUAUCUUCUCCCCAAGUCUGGUUCUAGGAUCUUUGCUUAUUGCCGUAUCGGGAAAGAGAAAGAUGCUGCAGAUCUGGAGCCAGUGCAACAACUCGCCCUUCAGUGGGGAUUAUUUUGAAAAGAGACAACCAAAAAGACAGGUCCAGUCCUCUCCGCAAGACGUGUUUGAUCUCAAAGGCAGUUUGUCCUAGGUUGUGAUAUCUCUAUUGCAUUCAAUUCAUGCUUCCAUUCCAGAAAUAUUAGUGUUUUUUAAUACCUCCCCCACACCAACUGUAAGACCUUACGGCAGCUUUCUGGAUUUGCAGCGAGUCUCAUAUUCCUUCCGAACAUGGUUGGCCAGAAACUUGGGUGUCCCUGCCUAACAUAUGGAGAGAAAAACCGAUCCUCUCACUGUGUUUUCGGUUCUCUGAACGGCCUUCCCAAAAGAUACUCUUAGUAGCAAUUAUGCAGAUGUGUGGACAAGGUGAGGCUACUUUUGGAGGAUCUACUGCUACCUCAGAGGAACAAAUGCCAAAUCUCCAAACAGCGCUAUGGAUGCCCAAGAGCAGAAGACGCCCUGUGGCUCUCAGUUGGAAUCCUCCCUCUCAUUUAUCAAUCACUGUUGGUGCUCCAGGGUUGGGACGGCAGUUUGUCGAUGUUGGGAGUCUAGACUCUUUCUAGAUUCUGUGUGCUAACGUUAGGAUGUUGUCCUUAUCUACAAUGUCCAAAAUGGUUCAACAGCACAUCCACACUCCUGGAGGUGAAGGGAAAUAGGAGCAAUGGAGGACAAACUCAUUUCCUUUCAGGAACAUGGCCUGGAAAUUUCACACAUCACUGCUGCUGAUAUCCCAUUAGCCAGAAUCUAGUGGCCCUGUCACACCUACCUGCAAGGAAGGCUGGUCUUGUGCCUAGCUUAACCUUCCAUCCGAACAGAAAAAGGGGAGAAUGGAUAGUGAGAGAGACAACUAGGACUCAGGCCCACCAUCCAACUAAUGUUCCUUCUUUCACUCAUAUCUCCAGUGCCUUUGCUGCCAUUUAAAACAGGGGGUUUGUGGGGCUCCUGGGUGGCCCAGCCAGUUAAGCGUCUGACUUCGUCUCAGGUGAUGAUCUUGUGCUUCGUGAGUUCGAGCCCUGCGUUGGGCUCCGUGCUGACAGCUCAAGCCUGGAGCUUGCUUUGGAGUCUGCGUCUCCUUCUCUCUCUACCCCUCCCCUGUCCAUGCUCUGUUUCUCUCUCUCUCAAAAAGUAAAUAAACAUUAAAAAAAUAAAAAACAAUAAAACAUUGAGUUCGUGCCCCACCUCUGAGCCUUUACUCAUGGUCUUCCCUAACGUGGAAGGGUCUGUCCACUUCUCCACAUCCAUAUUGCCUUCACUGCCCCCUCUGCCUCGUCUCCUCCCUUCCUGACAACCUUCCCUGACAAUCCCAGCCCUCAGUGACUUCCCAAGGCGUCCCUUGACCUUUAUGUUUUCAUUGUACAUGAUGUCCUAUAUAGCUAAGGUUUAAUUUCAGAACUAGACAGCACAUUUCUUGGGAACAGGGUCCUCAUCGUAUAUUUUUCUUGUAUCCUUCAUGGUCUCUAGCUCGGUGCUGAGCACACAUAUGUAUUUAACAAUUACUCUCUGAAAUGAAUUGAAGUUGAUUAGAAUGACAUGCUCAACAAUCUAGGACAAUACUUUUAUUCUUCUUUGAUUAUAGUAUUUUUUCACCUAAGUGGUCUGCAUGUAAUUAUAUAUAUACAGUUUUAUAUAAAUACAUACACAUAUUAAUUUACUUAUAUAAGUAUAUAUAAAGAGUUUAAUCUCUAUAAUAUAAAAAAUUUAUAUGUACAUACAUAUAUGCACACAUUUGCAACUCAAGAAACCAGGUUUAUUCUUAUUUAGUUUUCUUAUCCUCUUGUUUACUGGGCAAACUUUUCAUCAACGUUACCUGCACUGUUUCAAAACUUAAAUAGGAUAAGCAGAACCUGAGCAUUUAGCACAGCACUGGCACACAGCCAGCACUAAAUAAAUGCUAAAAUUAAAAAAAAAAAAGGCAAGAGCAAAGUAUAAAUGUAAACUGAGUUAGAACUUACUGCCAGAGCAAGGAUUCUGGUAUUAGACCCUGGUCUGAACUUUGUUUCUUCUAUUUAUUCACAGUUUUGUAGAGUAUUAAGUGAAUUGACUCAUCGUGCUUGUCAAUGAUCUCUCAGUUCCAUGCACACCCUUUAUACUUUGAUCUGUAAGGCUAUGGGCUUAGAUUCUGAAAAUGAGAUUUCCAAGAUUCCCUUGCGAGCUGAUUUCCACUUAGGGUCUGCAAUUGGGAGGCACAACUGGGAGACUGGGAGGCAGGAGGAGAGAGGAAGGGACUUCCUUCCUCUUUCCACCUUCCUUACGACAGCUACCACUCUGACAACUUUAGACCAGAGUCUUGCCACUUCCUACAGGCCCUGUCACCAGCCACCCAGUGCCCUUUGGCAAUCUUAGUGCCGAGUAUAUGAUGGUCCUACAGCAGCCCAACAACAAAGAUGGUGGCUCUUCCUCUACAUUCCUAGGUUAUACCUCUUUCCUUUUGUUCCCCCCAGCCCUAAGUUGCUCCCUGUAUUUACCGACUUCACUGCUUUCUUUUGGAUAUUCCAACACAUGUGAAAUCCAUUCACUAUAUUAAAUACCCCCUGGUUAAAAUACCUAUUAUAAUUUCUGUUUUCCUGAUGGCAUUUUGAUUGAUACGGCAUGCAAUGUGCUUAAGGCCUUUCAUCUUCUCAACAAAUGUUAGUUCUCCCCUAGGUGAUUAUAUCUGCUGUGUUAAAAGAAAAUGCAUGAUAGAAGCGAAGAUAUAUUCACUGUAUUUUUUACAUUACCAUUUCUUUUCAGAGUUCUUGAGCUUUCUUCAUGGGCUCCCAUUUCAGAUGUGAGGGUUAGUGCAAACUCCCAUGGAUGGUAAGUGAGAAUCAGGGCUUGGCCUUGGUUGAAAUUGGGGGGAGAGCCAAAGAAAAUUAACUUUCCAACAACUAGGCUUAUACCACUGGGAUAUGACUGAAGCCCAGGAUGGGGGAUCCUAAAAGAGAACAAAAGAGAAUGCCACAAAUAUCUAUCACAUCAUCUGUUCUCUUGGCUACUCUUACCUCUUCCUUCUCCAUUAUGCGUUUACACUGACCUGAUCUGAGAAACAUCUCCAACUCAUAAAAACAUUGGUUCUUUAAGCCCAUGUUUCUCUCACUCAUUACCCACACCAGUUUUCCUAGAUUCAAAUCAGAAGCCCAUGAAGAACCCCUUGGGUGAGAAGUGAUCCCAUGAAUGUUGAAGGAAGCUUUGCCCUCACCGGAGAAUCAAGGCACUAGGUUAUCAUGAAAUCCAGUCCUUUGCAAUUAUUAUUGUAUCAAGUGAGAUGUCGUCUCACUGAUGGGCUUCCGAAUUCCAUCUCAAUGGAGAAAUCCACAGCAACCAACAAAGUGUAAGGAGAGAAAGCAGAGCCAGGGAGGGGUUAGUGUAAUAAGCUGGUGACUGCAAAUAAUAUGACUUUAUUUAUUAUUUUAACAAAUAAAUCAGAGCUUAUAUUUCCAAAUAACAAAUUUUUUUUUCCAACCGUGCUACCAUGGCUCACUGUAUUUUAAAAUUAUCCCUAGAGCCUGCUGCAGAAUUUUAUAAAAAAUUCUCAAAUCUUCCUGGCCUCAAAUCUUCCUCCGUGAGUGGAUUUGGUGAUUUGGAAACAAUUGAAGUCAUUUGGAAGUAAAUCUGGUGACCAAGGUAUGUGAACAAGAUGGGAAACACCAUUAUUUGGUCAAAUUUGGCUGUAACCAAAAGAAACCAGGACUGGGGGGGGGUGGGGGUGGGGAAUGUAAGCUAAAUGUGAGUAGAGUUUUCAAAGAGAAAUUGCAAGCAUUUUAGAUAGUAUUUGGAAGAAGUAAUAGUCUUCCAAAGAUGACUUCAAAGAUGACUAUUUUAUAUAUAUAUUUUUAAUGUUUAUUCAUUUUUGAGAGAGAAAGAGAGAGACAGAGCGUGAGCAGGGAAGGGGCAAAAAGAGAGGGAGACACAGAAUCUGAAGCAGGCUCCAGGCUCUGAGCUGUCAGCACAGAACCUGAUGCAGGGCUCAAACCCGCGAACCACAGGAUCUUGACCUGAGCUGGAGUCAUACACUUAACCAACUGAGCCACCCAGGUGCCCCAUGGAUGACUAAUUUAAAGGAUGGUGCUCAUCAUGAGUAACUGGAUCACGUGUGUGUGUGUGUGUGUGUGUGUGUGUGUGUGUGUGUGUGUGUAAUCAACCUAACUUUAUAAUAUUAUAUUUAUAGAAGUUGUUCUCAGUUUUCUCUCUACAUAUGAAGAUGCCCCGUCCAGGGUAUUCUUCCCUGCCUAUCAUGACCUCAGGCCAGGAGUUUGUCUCAGAAAAACAUGGAUUUUGGAAAAAGAUUAGUAUGCAAAUCUGUGCCUAAACGACUUACUGUGUCUGAAAUCUUAAGCAAGUUGCUUGAGCUCAUUGCACUUUAGUUUUCUGAUGUAUAUAAUGGACAAAAUACAAUGGAGUGAUUAAGAGGCUUAAGAAACUAUGUAUGUAAGUGCCUAGCUGAGUGCCUUGGCCCAGAGCAGACACUCAACGAAUGGUUACUAUUAUUGGUGCAAACAUAAUUGUUUUCAGUUUAUAUUUUAAUUCCAGUUACUUAGAUACAGUGUUAUAUUUCACGUAUACGAUAUAGUGAUUCAAAAAUUCCAUAUAUCCCUCAGUGUUCAUCACGACAAGUGCACUCCUUAAUCCCCAUCAGCCAUUUCACCGUCCUCCACCCACUUCCCCUCUGGUAGCCAUCAUUUUGUUCUCUAUAGUUAAAAUCUGCUUCUUGGUUUGUCUCUCUCUCUCUCUCUCUUGCAUGUUAGUUUUGUUUCUUAAAUUCUACAUAUGAGUGCGAUCAUAUGGUAUGUCUCUGACUGACUUAUUUCUCUUAGCGUUAGACUCUCUAGCUCCAUCCAUGUUGUUGCAAAUGGCAAGAUUUCAUCCUUUUCUGUGGUUGAAUAAUAGGUGUAUACAUAAAACUUCCUCUUGGUCUAUUCAUUAAUCAGCAGGCACUUGGGCUGCUUCCAUGUCUUGGCUAUUAUAAAUAAUGGUGCUAUAAAUAUAGGGGGUGUAUGAAUCCUUUUGAAUUAGUGUUUUCGUAUUCUUUGGGUAAAUACCCAGUAAUGCACUUGCUGGAUUGUAGGGUAGUUCUAUGUUUAACUUUUUGGGGAUGAUCCAUAAUAUUUUCCACAGUGGUAGCACCAGUUUGCAUAUCCACGAACACUCAAGAGGGUUCCCCUUUCUCCACGUCCCUGCCAACACCCAUUGUUGAUUGUAGCCAUUCUGACAGGUGUGAGGUGAUAUCUCAUUGUAGUUUUGAUUUGCAUCGUUCUAAUGAUAAGUGAUAAGCAUCUUUUCAUGUGUUUGUUGGCUGUCUGUAUGUCUUUUUUGGAGAAAUGUCUGUUCAUGUCUUUUGCCCAUUUUUACAUUGGAUUACUUGUUUUUUGGGUAUGCAAGCAUAAUUAUUAUCAUCAGGGUAUAGCUGUGGCAUCGAGACCCUCAUCAAUCAUUUCUGAGAGAGAGAGACCGAUGUAGAGAGACCAAUAUGUCUAUUUAUAUGAACCAGACAGCCAAGCCUAGAGAAGCCAAUGGUGAAUUCUAUGUAGAGGAGGGAGGAGCCAAUGAUAGCACAAUGGAAUAGUUUCCUCUUCUUUUGGUCCACUUAUAGGAUACUGCAAAAUGGGAAAAUUGUGUCAUCUCAAUGUACAUCUGUGUUAGAAUGUUAACACAAAGAUAUUUAACCAAUAGUGUUAGGAAUGCCUGCAGUCUUUUGCAUACUCCACAUAGUUGAGGUUUUCCUCUUUGAGAACCAACACUUUUCCCAAAAUAUUAAUUGUUUGGAAGAAAAGCAUUCAAAAACUCACCAUUCACCCCUCUACCUUUUAAAGCAAAGGACAGGAUUUAACUUUUUUGUUAUAAGCCAGGACGAUCAUCAUGAACAUCUGUUGCAGUGUGGACGAGUAGCUCAGGGCUGGGCCUACUUUGGCUUUUUCUGCCCUCUCCUUCCUUGGUGUCAGGCAUUGCCUGGAUAUGACAGGCUUGAGAUGCAACACAUCUACCAACCUUGGAAACAGGCAGAUACUCAGAAACCAGCAACGUUCAGGACAGUGACCACAUACUACUUAGGGACAUAGAUUCGUUCAUAGGCAGACCUGAAAUGAGACCCUCCUUCAGCCAGGUAAUCUUGAGCAAAUUACUGUACUGAACCUCAGUUUCUUCAUCCGUUCAAUGAGGAUAAAAAUAGUACCUAGCUCAUAGGCGAGUCAUGAGUCUCCAGUAGGAAAAUAGACAUAAAGUGCUUAGCAUGGCACUGGGCAGAUAUCAGAUGCUCAAUAAACAUUCCCUACUACCAUAAUUAUUACUACUAGCAAGCAAGGUCUCCCAGACUCUCUGACUUCCCUACUGUGAUACUCAUAAACACUCAGCCUUUGGUUUUUUUCCUUCCAUCUGUCAAAUAGGACUGAUAAAAGGUAGUCUGAACAGCCAGUGACCAAAGCCCCCUUGAAUUUUUCCCCCUAAUCUGGUGAAACUCCCAGAUAAGAGAAUUUCAGCCAAAGGAGAACGUCAAUAAUUCUGUGAAAAGCCAAUCAUUCUCAUAAGGGCCAAGUUUCUCACACGGCCGGAAUGGCCCCCCCAGACCGGCUGUAUCUGCCCCUCUGAGCUGUGCAGUCAGACACGCCAAGAGCAGGAGUGCGCUCCGGGGACCAAACACCAAGUCACCAGGUCAUGGCUGGUGAUCCCUGGUGGCAGAAGCGGGGAGGCAGGCAGGAAGCCCCCAGAGUCUCUCGUCUGGCACUAUUCACGGCACUAAGAGAAAUGUCCUCCAGAGCACUGGCAGGUGCCUAUCUGGUGAGGAUUCGGUACGUUGCAGCUCUCCAAGCGGUUAUUUUCUAUCUUCUGUAUCCCGCAGGGGCUAAUUCACGUCCUCAGCGGUGUACUAUUCUGGCUAUUCCACCACUGGGGAAUAUAAUUUAAGGUCUCUCUGGAGUUACAGGAAGGCAACAACAACAGCUUCAGUCUUUGUGCAGUUCAGAUCGGGAGCUGUUGGGCAGGUCCCAGCCUACGCCUCACCACGUGCCAGCACCGUGAGGAAACCAACAACCGGAGCUGGAAUAAGCCGACAAGUGUUUUCACCCAGCACGUGCCGUCGGGUUAGGGCUCCAGUCUCUGUACCAACUUCCUGGCAAACACUCACUUCUCCCAGGGACGCACUGCCUUAAAAUGAUAUUCCCAGGAUAAGUGCCAGAUUGGAGACCAUCUGACACUGUUUUAUAUUUCAUAUCCCCAAGCCUGUUCUCUCUCCAUCAAAUCUCCACAACCUCCAUGUACAUAUCAGGACGUGGACCUCACUUCAUACAGCAUUGCUUCUUUGCAAAGUUGGGGGUAUAUGUAAUGCAAGUCAUAUUUUAAACGCACGAGGUGACCUUGAAAUUGUGUUAGGUCGCUAUCGCUGCAUAACAAAUUAUCCCCCCCAACAUAUGGGAUAACACAAUAAUAAAUAUUUAUUAUCCUCACGAUAUCCGUGGGUCGGGAAUUCAGGCGUGCCUUAGCUGGGCGGUUCUGACUUGGGUUCUCUCCCGAGGUUAGAGUCACGAUGUUGGCUCGGGCCGCUGUCUCCUGGAGAGCCUGCUUCCAAGAUGGCUGGCUCACACCGCCAGCCGGUUGGUGCUGUCGUUGGUGGAGGCCUCGCUUUCUCCCCACAUGGACCUCUCAGGCUAUUUGAAUGUCUUCACAAGGCCGCUAACUUCCCCUAGAGUGAGUGACCCAUGAGGGAGAGCCAGGUGAAAGCUAUCCUUUUUAUGACCGUCUUAGAAGUCACAUCUUAUUCAUUGGAAGGGAGUCCAUCACUCAACUAGGGAGGGAAUUCACUUGACUUUUGAAGUGAGCAUCGUCACGGUAUUAGCGAACACAUUUGAAAGCCACCAGAAACAUUUAGGAGUGAAUCAUUCGUUCAUUUGACAAAUAUUUGUUGAGUACCCACCACGUGCCCACACCGUUCUAGAAGGUUGGGACACAUCCCGGACAAAACAGACCAAAGUCCCUGCCUGACCUUGUCAGACUAAAUUCUAGUGGAGAGAGACAAAAUAAACAACAAGCCUAACAAUUGUGUUUUGUGUAGUGGGCUGCAGAUUUAAGUGCUCUGGCGAAAAAGAGAUCUAGGGAAGAGAGCUCCAGAAUCCUAGAGUCAGGUUACAUCGUUUUAAAACUUUAUUUAUUUUGAGAGAGAUAGAAGGAGGGGCGGAGAGUGGAAAAGAGAGAGAAUCGCAAGCAGGAUUUGCACUGUCAACACAGAGCCUGAUGUGGGGCUCCAACUCACAAACCGUGAGAUCAUGACCUGAGCUGAAAUCUGGAGUCGGUCGCUCAACCGACUGAGCCACCCAGGUGCCCCAAGUCAGUUACAUUUUAAAUAGAGUCAUCAGACUUGUUCUCACUGAGAAGACAGCGUGGGGAAGGCAGUGAUUGGAGAAGUAAUGGGACCGUGUGCAUAGCCUCAUAGUCCACCAUCUGACCACAGAACCCAUGCAUCCUGGUGGUUGUCACCCUGCUCCCUCAUGGGGACAUGGAUGGGGAGAGAAGUUUCUCUGCACCUCAUGAGAACCGGCAGCACUCCCUUCCCCUAGAUUACAUAGGAAAAGGUGUUCUUGUGGCCAUCCCCAGCUGCAGGUGACCUUCAUGGCCAUUCAGAGGAAGCUUCCGUGCCACCCUGGGACAAGCUGUAGGCAGCAUGGGCAUAUAACACCGUGCAUCCAAGGGGGAAAGACAAGUGAGUCACUCGGUCCUAAAGAGAUCGCAUUUGGAAGAGCAGCACUUUUGCAGGGCGGAAUGUGUGCUUUCAGUGCUUCCAUUGAUCACGGUGUUUCUACCACUGAAGGCAAGCUCCAGACCACACCCAACAGAAGCCGCCCAGCCCUGGGAAUGGCAGAAUUUUGAAGUUUUCUGAAUCAUGAAGGGAGGGAACAGGAAGGAGAAGACAUUCCUGGCUUGCGUGUGGCCCAAAAGGGGUCAGCACCCUGCUGGCCGUAUAGGGUCUCUCAGGAGACCCUUGCCAACAGAGUGCCUCGGGCUGGCGGAGCUAGGGAUGAAGUAGGGCAGGGCGGGUGCCAGACGAUUCAAGGAGAGCACCCGGUUCUAAUUCAGCCAUCCAGGCAGGCAAGAGGAGGCUCAGGGCAGGGGGAGGGGCAGGGGGUAUUUGCACAGCGAUGUGUGAGCCCUAUUCGGGGGGCAGUUAUGAUCUCGAGAGUGUGGCGACUAACACACCGGGACAUAGGCGGCCCCCCAGUCUCCCAUGCAACAGACCCCAUGAAGAGGGACCCUAUCUCAAGCGUAGACAGAGGUGCACAAGAGGGCAUCGGUUCAGGGUCCGAGGGAGACCUGUACAUGUAGCAAGAGAUGGUUCCCUAACAGGAUCAUCAAUCCAGCCCAGAUGACCUCACCCAAAGAUGGCCGUGAGGAGAGAACGAAGGAGAAAGCUCAGCCCCUGGAGGUGCCAUAGACAGUCGGUGCUCACCACGUCAGUAGGUAACAAGCGCUAGGGUAAGUGACGAGAACACGAAGGAGCCCCCUGGGUGUCAGAACAGUCAUCGAUAGCCAUGUCUGAAGCCCAUGGAGGCUGACAGGGGACAUAGGGUGCACAUGUUGAGUUCCACAUUUAUUCUUUCUCCAAGGGAAAUCCUUGAAUGGCUAAAAGGCAGAGACGGGGUCGGGGUCGACACAGCCAGGUAUGUAUCCUGGUGAUGCCAUUUACUGUGUCAGAGAAGUCCCUUUGUUUGUCUGUAGCCCCGGUUUCCUCACCUGUCAACCUCACACAGCUGGUGAGAGAUAAAUGAGAAACUGCUUCACAUGAUUCCCAGACUAUAGAAGUAGUCCACAAAUAGCUGCUAUUUUUAUUGUCACUAUUUUUACAAAUGUUGUGGACAGCCACUGUGGGGGCUUUGUUUGGUUUUGUUACCCAACACCUCUUCCUUUGGAGAGAUUGCCCCAUCCCACCCCCACGCACUUGGGGGUGGUGUUCAGCUAAUCUUAGGACUCGGACAGGGAUGGACAAGUGGCCAAUCAAAUUCUCUCUCCCAGGGAUUGGAACCCUAAGUGCCUUCAGGCAGGAAGGCAGUCAGAGCUGAGUCAUCCUGUGACAGGGAAUUUCCUGGAGUGGCUCCUGCUAUCAUCCCUCCCAGGGUCUGAAAUCCAACUCGUCCUUCCGGUGUCUGAGCUUGGCCAGCCUCCCCGUAGUGACCCCCUCUUGCAGCCGAGAAUCCCUUCUGACAAAGCAGCCACAGGGUGGGACAUCUCUACACAGAUGGCCAUCGGAAUGGCUGUGUGGGGACACCGAGGCUGGGAAAGAGGAUGUGACCGUCCCACUUCCUCCCUUCCCUUUUCAGUUCAGGCUAUCUCUGCCCCCUGCCCUCUCUUUGUUUGGUUUACUUUUUUUUUUUUUUUUUAAUCAGGGUACUAUAGGUACUUAAAUGUGAUCAAAUAGUGAACAGAGUUGGGACAACUGGGUAGCCAUCUGGAAAAGAUGAAGCUGGUUCAACAUAUGAGGGUAAAUUCAAAAUGGAUCAAAGAUUUAAAUGUAGAAAAAUUUUAAAAUACUUAAAGUCACUAGGAGAUAGCAUUGACGAAUUACUAUGUAAUCUUUUUGUGUGGAGGACCCUGCUAAUUAUGACUCAACAUCCAGAGUCUAUCAAAGAAAAUAGUUCUAAUUUUUUAAAACGUUUAUUUAUUUUUCAGAAAGAGAGUGGGAGCAGGGGAGGGACAGAGAGGGGAAGAGAGGAUCUGAAGCAGGCUCCCAACUGACAGCAGCGAGCCCAAGGCAAGGCUCGAACCCACAAACCAUGAGAUUGUGACCUGAGCCCAAGUCAGGUGCUCAACUGACUGAGCCACCUAGGUGUCCCUAUCAAAGAAAAUAUUUCUAAAUAUCACUCCAUAUUAGUCAAAAACUUAGCAUAAAAUAAUAACAAACUCCGUUAACAAACUGAAAAAUCAAAUUGCAGUGAAAAGGAUUAAUUUCCCUAAAAUGUAAAGAACUCCUAGAAAUCAAGAAGAAAAAGAUACAAAAAAAAAAUUGAAAUUUGGGCAAAGGACAUAAUUAGAGUAUUCAGGGAAAAAAAAGAAUUAUAAAUGGCUCUUGAACAUUUAAAAGCUUCUUAACCUUACUCGUAAUUAGAGCAGGUUGAUACCCAUCAGAUUGAGAAAAAACUCAAAAGUUCGACAACACAUUCUUCUAACGAGACAGGGAAAAUAACCACUUACACAGGAUUCGGGUGAGACAAUAAGAUGCUACAAAGCCUUUGGAGAGCAAUUAGGCAUUAUCUAUCAAUAGCACCAAUACAUUUGCCCUCUGACCUCUGGAAAGUCAUCUCACAGCUUCUCUGCACACAAAUGAAAUAACAUAUGUAUAAGAUUAUUCAUUUCAGCAUUGUUGGUAAUAGCAGAACAUUGGAAACACCCCCAGUGACUAGUUUUUUAAAAAGCCAAAAGUUUGCUUUAAAAAAUCCAUCCGGGGCAUGUGGGUGGGUCAGUUGGUUAGGCGUCCAACUUUGGCUCAGGUCAUGAUCCCACGGUUCAUGGGUUUGAGCCCCGAGUCGGGCUGUAUGCUGACAGCUCAGAGCUUGGACCAGCUUCAGUUUCUGUGUCUCCCUCUCCCUCUGCCCCUCCCCCACUCAUGCUCUGUGUCUCUCUGUCUCUCAAAAAAUAAACAAAGGUUAAAAAAAAUUUUUUUUUUCUAAAUCCAUUCCAUGGUCCACCCUAGCCCCAUCCCUAAUUCUGUUUCCAGGAGCUUUAAAACCUGUUAAUUGAUUUUUCAGAUAUUCAUCUGUAAAUUUCUCUUUUAAAAUGCUUAUAUUAUUGGGGCACCUGGGUGGCUCAGUCAACUGGUCAUCUGACUCUUCAUUUCAGCUCAGGUCAUGAUCUCAUGGUCAUGAGAUCAAGAUCCAUGUUGGACUCUGCACUGAAAAUGGAGCCUGGUUGAGAUUCUCUAUCUCCCUCUCUCUCUGCCCCUCCCCUGAUUACAUGCAUGCAUGUGCACACACUCUCUCUCUCCCUCAAAAAUAAAUAAUGUUUAAAAUGUUCAUAUUAUUUCUCAAUUCUCAAUUUAAGCAUGAUCUACUGAUUUUCUACUAUAGAAGAGAACUAUUUAGCUCUAUUAUGUAUCCUCCACCCCUCAUGCACACACAGAGCUAUUCACCAUUCACCUCCAUUUUUCCAAAUGGUUACAUGACAAUUUUUUGUUAAAUUCAUACUUAAUAGUUGAGUAUCAUGACGAUGCAAAUAUCGUUUACAAUUGAAACAUAGGUAUAGGAUCAUUAACAUUCCUUUCUUGAAUAUUUAAAAUUUUUCCCUGGAGUUCAUAAUUGCCUUGUUUUUCAUUUGACCAUUUCAUUUUUGUUUGACCAUUUUUAGCGUAUUUAUCAACAAUUUAUUCCCCAAAUAUUCUAUGCAUCAUAUACGAGAUCCUCUAUCAGUUCCAAUUUUUUCCUAGAACUUUUCCAUUCAUUCUUUGUUCUCUGCAUUUGUUUCCCUCUAGUCCUGCUUCAUAGCAGCCAUCUUAAAACGUGUCUUUACUCUCACCCUGAGAAUUUCCUUUGCUCCCCCUGUCUCAUGUGUUGGAUCCAUUCAUCCAUGGGGUCUGGAUCCCAAGCCCCCUAGAUUUGAUCACUCAUUUCAGUAAAAUACAUUCUCUAGUAAAUCCUCAAGAAAAAGUACAUAGGAAAAAAAUUGAGAUCCUGCAUGUCUGAAAAUGUUUUCAUUAUACCUUCAUUUGGUAUUAGUUUGGCUUUAUAGAUCAGUUCACAAAUACUUUUUCCAAAUGUUCCAUUUCCUUCCAGCAUCCAGUGUUACUGUUGAGAA
rnacentral:lncRNA from 1 species